AACAUUCAUCUAUGCAAGCAUAGCUCAAAAUUCCAUAGCAGAAUAAAAUUCUUAUAUCAGUUCCUACACUACAAAGAUGAAGAAGACAAAGCUUGUUUUUGUUCCAUCACCAGGCAUAAGCCACCUAAUAUCCACAGUUGAGCUCUCCAAGCGCUUAACUGAAAGAGAUGAUCAGCUAUCAAUAUUUGUUCUGGUCAUAAGCUCGCCUGUUGGCCCAGACUCGGAGUCCUACACUCAAGAAGUGGCUGCUUCAAACACUAGUAUUCAAUUCAUCAACAUUCCUAAAGCAGAUCCCAAUCUAUCAGAGGCCUUGAGCUCCCCAGAAAAUUUUUAUGCUCUCUAUUUGGAAAGCCAUAGAUCCUAUGUCAAAACAGCAAUAAUUGAUCAAGUACUAGUAUCAGAAUCCAUCACUUCUCUUGCCGGGAUAGUUGUUGAUCUAUUCUGUAGUUCGAUGGUUGAUGUAGCGAAUGAGCUUGGCGUUCCUUCAUAUGUGUUCUUCACCUCUGGCUCUGCCUAUCUUGGUUUCGUGUUUUAUCUUCCAAUUCACAACAAAAAUGGAAGAGAGUUCGAGACUUCAGACCCUGAUUCAAUUAUUCCAACAUAUUCUCACCCUGUACCUUCAAAUGUUAUACCUUCUUAUGCAUUUAACAAGCAUGGUGGUUAUUCCUCAUUCGUAAAACAUGCUACCAAGUUCAAGGAGACAAAAGGAAUCAUCAUAAAUACGUUUGCAGAAUUAGAAUCUCAUGCUGUGGAUCGAUUGAAAUUCGAUGCUGAAACACCGCCAAUCUACACAGUUGGACCCCUGCUCGACCUGGAGGGCAGAAAGCAAGAGCCUGAUCACUAAAAAAUAAUGAAAUGGUUAGAUGAUCAGCCUCCAUCAUCAGUUGUAUUUCUCUGUUUUGGAAGCAUGGGUAGUUUUGAGCCUGACCAGUUAGCAGAGAUGGCACUUGCACUCGAGUGGAGUGGAUACAGAGUCUUGUGGUCAGUCCGGUUAUCAAAGGCCUAUACAAAAGGGACAGGUGAGCAUUCCAAUAUUUCUGAAAUGUUGCCACAAGGCUUCUUAGAGCGCGUCCAAAAUCGAGGAUUGGUGAGUAGUUGGGCACCACAAAUGGAGGUGCUGGCUCAUGAAGCAGUUGGGGGAUUUGUAUCUCAUUGUGGCUGGAACUCUAUACUAGAAAGCCUGUGGCAUGGGGUGCCUGUUGCAACAUGGCCUGUAUAUGCUGAGCAACAAAUCAAUGCGUUCGAGUUGGUAAGAGAGUUGGAACUGGCUAUGGACUUGAAAAUGGAUUGUCGAAUGGAAAAUGCAAAGAAUCUUGUAGUGGCUGAGGAAAUCGAGAAAGCUAUCAGAUGCUUGAUGGACACAGAGAAUCCAACAAGAAAAAGAGUUCUAGAAAUGAAGGAGAUAAGCAGAAAGGCCAUUGAAAAAUUUCAUUUUCCAAAACACUAAUCUCUUUCGCCUUUAAAUUUCAAUCAAUUGCAUCUUUUAAAAUCCUAAUUUUACUCUUUUUGCCUCUGAGUCUCAUCACUUGCAUUUAUUGACCUCUUCGAGGAGUCAAUUUUGGCCGUCACAAUCAAUGUGCUCGGUGCCAAUCAAACCUCAAAGAGAUAUUUUGCCCCACUCGAUUCACCACUAGGUUUAGGUUUUGCAUCCAUAUAGUGACAUCUAAAUGUGAUAAAUUUUUAGGUUAAAAUAAGAAAAUCUUUUGACUAAAUCACGCAACUAGCUCUAGGCUAGGUUGAAAGGGUGCCUUGGAUUUUAUCUUUGCCUUUCCUUUCUUCAAACGUGACUCCUGAACACUUUUCUCUGAUUUUCGAAAACUUGGAGUCGUUUAAAAAGGGUUUUUUCUACUUUUUCUUUAAAAAUUUAUUUUAGGUGACUUGGUACACCUUAACUCAAUAACAAGUGGCGACUCCUAUUUUAUUAAAAAUUCUUUUUAAACUAUUAUUUUGGGUCAAAACCGUCACACUUUUAAAGUCCCAUUUAGACCCGUUUUCUUUAUUUAUUUUCUAAAAAAAUGAAAAACUCAUUUUCACUUAAAACUAAUAAAAAUUCAUUUUUUACAAACCCGUAAUUUUAUUAUUUCUUUAAAAAAAUGGGGCGCGACAGAAAGGUUAGAGGAAUAGUGGGUGUUGAGAAAGAAAAAAAGGAAUGAGUUGAGGAGUACAGUGGAGGGAGGCGAUUUGGGUAGGGGGCGAGGGGAAAAGAGUAGAGCGAAGGGAAAGAGAGAGGUGGAGGCAUGGUGGGAAGGAAAGAAGAAAGGAGAAAGUGAGAAGAAAAAAGUAGAGUAUUCUUUUCAAGUGGAGGGCACAGGUAAUGUAGAGGAAUGUUAGUGUAUUCUUUUCAAGUGUUUUUAGUUCUGAAUAAGUUCUUUGUGGCAUUUUUUAAGAUAUUACUAUGGCUUUUGUUUUUUAAAAAACGUGUUACUGUAAAUAUGAUGUAAAAAUUAGGAGUCGUUCAGAAAUCUUACUUCCCACUAUAGAUAGUACAGGUUGCCUGAGAAGACAAUGAUUUUCUGUUCAAAAAGCUAUUAUUGCUGAGAGACAGGUAUUGGAGUUUCUAUAAGGAACCAAAUUAACCAGGAGGGAAGUUGUCCACCAAAAUAUUGAACCAAGAUUAAGGUAUCUCAAUCUGCGCAAGUGAGCCAACUCGCGAGGCAGUUCUUCAAGGAAAUUGUUUCUGCUAAUGUCAAGGGAAAUGAGAAAGGACAGAUUCCCAAGUUGAGGAGGUAUGGUACCACCAGAAAAGUUCAUGUUUGAAAUAUGCAAGGCAGUCACUCGACCUGUCGAGAACUGCAAGGGACAAAUGGAGGAAGUAAUUGACCAAUUUUUUGCCAAGAAAUCUUGAGGUUCUAAAGUGAUCAUGUCACUGAUUGAUCCAUAGUAAUAUCACUGUUGCUAGCUGCCAUGCUAGCUAACCUAAAGAUACGCAAGAAGAAGUAGUAGAUUUUGUCCUUGGCCAUGCUCAUGGUUCAAUUUCAGAUUUCCACAAACACCAGGGCACUCACUAAUUAAGAAUUGGGAUGAACUGCAAAACGAUAUAUACAGAUAGAAACGAGCAUGGAAGUCCACUAAUAACACAUUCCAGGAAUAAUAAAACCAUAUCAAUGGAGAAAGGCCGUAACAUUGAUUUAUUUUCCAAGUAGGUACCAAACAUGGACUAUCAAAUCAUGGACAAAAUGGAGCUUGCGACAUUGGUCGAGAAGAGGCUGCCAUUAACUAGUCUUGGUUUAUUCCUUCAUUGACUUUAAUUCCAGUUUCCAUUAGUAUAUAUGUGGAUGGAGAAGAAACAAACCCAAAUCUGAACUUGUCCCCAUUUGAAGUCUCCUUUGAAAGUGAAUGGUAUGCUUUUGCCAUUCCAAUUUUAUGGCAGGGAAUUGUUAAUUUUCUGCUUUUUGUCACUAGAUUGUUUAAACUAAAAGGUAGCUAAGAACUCAGUCAGAAUUAAAAAAAGGAAAAAGAAAAGCAAAAUAAAGCCCCUUAUGCAAUGUUCCCUAUAACUGAAAGUCCAAAUGCGAUGUAGAUGACACCUCUAGAUCUCUCUCUCGGAAUAAUGUACAUCUCUCUCUGACCUUCAAAAUAAAUCAAGCUUACAAAUUAUACUGAAGCAUCUAUUUGCAUUGGCCAAAAGCAUUGUUUCUGAUAUGAUCAAGACCUGACAGUAUGCUGCAAAAAAAUAGCAGGUUAUAAGCUCAAUUGAAUGAGGACACAUAACUUUCAUCAUUGAGAAGUAAAAUUUGCACAAAAAGGAUAAAUACUUACUGUCAUCAGAAAUUGAAAUUGAUGCUUGAUCUUUAUUAGUUCUGCUAAAACAUCUUUCAUACUGAUCCUUUCUCUUGGACAUUCUGUACAGCAGUUCAAAGCCAAUUUCAUAAUCAAUGUAACACACUUCAGCUUGUCAGUGAAAUGCUCAUCCUCUGGCCUAAUUAAGUUUGCAUCAACGACCUGAAGUGCAUCAGGAAGAGAAUCUUCUACCCAACUUUUAAGGCUUAAAUCUCCUGAAAACGUUUCAUCACCAGGCCUUAUCCUUGAAAAAAUUUCCAUCAAAACUAUUCCAAAACUGUAUACAUCAAUUCUUGUUGAAACUAUCCCCUCCGAUCCAUACUCUGUCAUAAGAUUACAAUAGUCAGGAUAAUAGAAUUAGUUAACAGAUUAACAACAGAUGAACAACAUCGUAGAAGUACAAAAAAUGUAGACAGCAAAAGUUAAAUGCUUAACCUGGUGCAAUGUAUCCCAGUGUUGCAAGGGUAUUGGUAUGCAAAAUACUUUCUCCUUGGCCAAACAUUUUUGCUAUACCAAAGUCACUUACAUGGGCAGCCAUAUCUUCAUCAAGCAAGAUAUUACUGGGCUUCAAGUCACAAUGUACCACAGGAGCAUCAUAACCAUAAUGGAGAUAUUCCAAUGCACAAGCAACGUCAAUCAUUAUGUUUAUUCUUUGGAACAUAUCUAAAAAAUGGUUGUGAGAGUACAACCACUUCUCAAGAUUCCCAUUGGGCAUGUAUUUGAGUACCAAGGCUUUAAAAUUAAGGUUACAGCAGCUGCCGAGCACUUUUAUAAGAUUUCGAUGGCGUAAACUCUUUAGAACCUCGCAUUCUUUAUCAAAACUUUUUAAUGAACCUUCCACUAGCAAGUUGAAUACCUUGAUAGCCACAAUAGUGCCAUCACUUAGGAUCCCUUUGUAAACAGAACCAUAGCUCCCUUCUCCAAGCAAAUUGCUUUCAUUGUAGUUAUCGGUUGAGUGCAAAAGGUCAUAGUAUGAAAAUCUUUCAUAUUUUGCCGCUGACAUCAACUCUAUUCCACUAGAACUCUUUGGUUUCUUUAGCCACCUUAGAUUCAAUAAUGCUCCAAUUGCUAUUAUCAGUAUUGCUGCCAUCCCUGACAGACUAAUGACAAGUAGAAGCACCUUUCUUUUGCUCGAUCUUCUAAUUGAAUUACUCUGACAUAGUGGAACACUAAGCCUUGGGUCACCACAGAGUCCUUCAUUGUUCAUGAACAAUUGACCUGUAAAGUUUCUGAAGGGACCAUCUCGAGGAAUUUCGCCACUUAAUCUAUUAAAAGAAACAUUGCAUUCCUUGAGAGAUUUGAGUGCCUCCAUUGACUUGGGUAUUACACCAGAGAGAUUAUUGUGUGAAAGGUCCAAGAAUUCCAAGCUGACUAUAUAGCUAAAUGAUUCUGGUAUAGAACCCUGCAAAUUAUUUUUCGCCAAUGAAAGGCUCUGUAAAGCUUGCAGCUCUCCAAUGGUUGUAGGGAUUUUGUCUGAUAAUUGAUUGAACGAGAUAUCUAAACUAUAUGCUGCUUUGAGGUUCCCGAUCUCCAAAGGUAGCGAUCCACUUAAGAAAUUUGAUGAAAGGUUGAGAAUUUGGAGAUCUUUCAUGCUCAAUAGGUUAGCAGGUAUCAUGGAAGUCAACCUGUUGGAGUCUAGAAAAAUCUGUCUCAAAUUUGUCAUAUUUCCUAAGCAUUCUGGAAUACUACCAAAGAAUUGAUUUUGGCUCAAGUCUAACAACCCCAAACUUUGUAAUCCACAAAAAAUGUCCAAGACAUCUCUUAUUUGAUUGGAGUCCAAGUACAGCACCUGAAGAUUUGCCAAACUAUGUAUAGUUCUUGGGACAGAUCCAAUCAAUUCAUUACCUGAAAAUUCUAGUUCCACCAAACCGCUCAAAUUGCUGAUUCCAUCUGGGAUGUUUCCCUUGAUUCUACAACUUUUUGCAGUUAUGACUUCAAGUGAAGUCGAAUAGUUAGAAAAGGAAGCUGGCAGAAAACCAUUUAGAGGAUUAUUAUCCAACACUAAAUAUGUCAAAGAUCUGCAACUCGUCAAGAAAGUGAAAAAGCUCAAUUCUGAGGAUUCACUUGAUAGCCUGUUGUAAUCCAGGUAUAGAUAUUUUAGAUUUCUUAAACUUGCUAAAGAGGUGGGGAUUGAACCUGUGAGCUCAUUAUUGUAAAGCACCAAAAAAACUAGCUUAGUAGCAUUUGAGAUGGUGCUAGGUAUACCUCCGCUCAAGUAAUUCUGAUCAAGAAAAAGAGACUCCAAAUUGCUUAGCUUAUUAUUACUCACUGUGAAAGGAAUAGUUCCUGAGAAUUUAUUCUGGUCAAGUCCAAUAUGUUGGAGAGAUGAAAUGUUGAAAAUUGCAGCUGGUAUGGAACCCGAUAAUGCAUUGUUGUAUAAAUAAAGCUCCUCCAAUCUGUGAAGGUUCCCAAUCUUUUCGGGUAUUCCACCUGUAAUACGGUAAUUGAAGUGCUUUUGCAUUAGCAUACAAUCGGCAACUUUCCAUUGGCAAUGUCUAGCAAGGUUCUAAAUUUUUUUUUAAAAAAAAAAUCUUUUAGAAUAAUAGAAAGUUAUCGGUCUUCCCAGAUCCUUCUAGCAAGGCUUUAAAACUAACCUCUUUGAACAUAAAAUCCAUUAAAAGGAAAAGUUAAUUUCAUUCAACCGAACAUAGGCGCAAGUUAUCCUAUAGAUCAAACUGAUGUGGAGUUUUAAAGAUGAUCUACGCAAUUAAGACCUUGUCAUUAGGAAAGAAGACAUACCUGUCAAUUUGUUGUUGCUAAAAUCUAAAUCCAUCAACAUAGCUAAAUUCCCUAUUUCAGCUGGAAUUACACCUGCAAAAUUGCAACUUGUAUGAGUUUGAUUUGACUUGAAAUGAAAAAACGUAGUAACAAAUAAUGAUGAGAUUUUUGAACUUUCCAAAUGCAUUAAUUGGAAAUAGUCGUGAUCCUUUCAUGCUAUAGAUCCAAUUGCAUGCUGAGUUUUGCUUAUGGUUUAAGCAAUUAAGAACUUGUAAUUAGGAACUUAAGCAUACCAGUCAAUUUGUUGUCUCUAAAUUCUAAAGCCGUCAACAUAGCUAAAUUCCCUAUUUCAGUUGGAAUUGCACCUGCAAAAUUGCAGCUUUUAUGAGUUUGAAUUGACUUGUAAUGAAGAAACAUAGUAACAACCAAUGAUGAGAUUUUUGAACUUUCCAAAUGCAUUAAUUGGAAAUAGUCGUGAUCCUUUCAUGCUAUAGAUCCAAUCCUAAGAACUUGUCAUUAGGAACGAAGACAUACCUGUCAAUUUGUUGUCAUAAAAAUAUAAAAUCGUCAACAUAGUUAGAUUCCCUAUUUCAUUUGGAAUUGCACCUACAAAAUUGCAACUUUUAUGAGUUUGAUUUGACUUGUAAUGAAGAAAUGUAGUAACAAAUAAUGAUGAGAUUUUGGAACUUUCCAAAUGCAUUAAUUGGAAAUAGUCGUGACCCUUUCAUGCUAUAGAUCCAAUUGCAUGCCGAGCUUUGCCUAUGGUUUAAGCAAUCAAGACCUUGUCAUUAGGAGCGAAGACAUACCUGUCAAUCAAUUUGUUGUCACCAAAACUUAAAAUCGUCAACAUAGUUAGAUUCCCUAUUUCAUUUGGGAUUGCACCUGCAAAAUUGCAACUUUUAUGAGUUUGAUUUGACUUGUAACAAAAAAAAAUGUAGUAACAAACAAUGAUGAGAUUUUUUAACUUUCUAAAUGCAUUAAUUGGAAAUAGUCGCAUGGUUACUCAUUGCAGUAACCAUGUGGCAUCUGUGGGAGGAAAGAAAAUAGGAUAGUUUUUCUGCUUGCUAAGACAAAUACUAGUAAAGUUUUAUCAGACAUUGCCAAGGUUAUUCAACUAUCUAUCGAAAAAAAAAAAGUGAUACUAUUAGUAAUAUCAGGGGAACAGUCAAUGUUAAGAGUUAAGACCCAUGCGAUAAGAGUGUUUAUGUUAUAAAUCUAUUUGACAAACCUUAGGGUUUGAUAUGUAGGACCUUUUAGUAAUAUUGACAAACCUUAGGAUCGGAUAUGUAAUUUGACCAAACCUCAAAAUAACCAGAACUCCUGGGCGCUAACGAUUAUACACUACACACAACUCUAAACCAAGACACCAAUUUAAAACUCAUAAGGUUACCUCACAUUUCUACUAAACACUUGCCGUCCAUUUAUACAUGCAAUAAGUUACCAAUGAAGGCGGUGCUGAUUUCCUUCGGGAAGUCUAGAUAUGCAACUUGCAUAUAGACAAAUCUAGGAAUGCUGCUAGACUAACAGAGAGAGAGAGGCUGUGCUUUCUCAUCACUGUCUAUCAAAACCGCCAAAAAAAAAUGUUCUGUUUCUCUGAAACCUCCAUAUAGAAAAACAAAAGCAUAAGCUUAUUAGAUAUCUAUAAAGCAUAUACAAGAACAGAAGCAUAAGCUUAAUCUAUACUUAAAAAAUAGGAAUAAAAGCAGUCACUAAUACAUUUUACCUGUUAAAUUGUUGCUCUCCAGGUAUAGUUCCUCCAGCAUUGUCAAGUUCGCAAUUCCCAUGGGUAUCGGUCCACUUAAACGGUUCUCAGACAAGGCAAGAUACCGAAGCAGUGAACACUGAGACACUGUUGACGGUAUUCGACCAAUCAAAUUGUUAUAUUGUAGACUAAGCCAUGUAAGUUUCUGAAGGCGCUGACAGACGUCGUCCGGAAGAAUGCCUGAUAGGCUGUUAUGCAUGAAGGAAAUUAUUUCCAGUGAGGAAAGAUUGAAAACAUGGAGAGGCAAAGGACCAGAAAGCUGGUUAUACUCAAUAAGCAAAUUCUUCAAAUUAUGAAGAUUCUGAAAUUCUAUUGGAACGGUCCCCUCAAUGAAAUUGAAAGACAGCAGUAGCGUCUCCAAGUUUGACAUGUUAGAGAUGGAAGGCGGGAUGGAACCCAUAAAGCUAUUGUUCCAAGAGACAGGAAUUGGAGUUUGUAUAUAAAACCAAACCAGGAGGGAAGCUCUCCACCUAGAUUGUUGAUCCCAAAAUCAAGGUAUCUCAAUCUGCGCAAGUGAACUAACUCACCGGGCAAUUCUCCAUGGAAAUUGUUCCUGCUAAUGUUAAGGGAAACCAGAAAGGACAGGUUCCCAAGUUGAGGAGGUAAGGUACCAGUAAGGUUCAUAUUUGAGAUAUUCAAGACAGUCACUCGGUGGUGUCGAGAGCCGAAGGUGACCCCUAUCCAAUCACAAACAGAGGAGGUAAUGGACCAGUUUUUUGCCAAGAUUUCUCGAGGCUCUGAAUUGAUCCUGCGAUCUCUUAGCGCAAGAAGGGCUAAUUGAUCCGUUGUAACAUUACUGUUGCCGGCAGCCAUCAUGGCUAACGAAACUAAGCUAAAAUUUAUCAAGAAAAGGUAGUGAUCUAUUUUGCCCAUGGCCUUGCUCAUUGAUCAAGUUGAGAUUUUUUUGACCGUAACUCACAUGAAUUGGUGUCAGCAGCAAAAUCAUAUAUAUAUAUAUAUAUAUAUAUAUAUAUAUAUAUAUAUAUAUAUAUAUAUAUAUAUAUAUAUAUAUAUAUAAGACGAGCGUGGAAGUCUUCAUGACACAAAAACACACACAUGGAGAUGGAGAUCAGCAAUUAAUGUGGUGGUCUCUGGCUAUGAUAACAUCAAUAGCAGAAAAAUACCCACCAGUUAAUAUUAAUGUUGAUUUUCCUACUUAUUACAUAUCAAAUUAUGGCAGACCGGUCUAGAGGGGUUCGGGAGAGAAGACAUUAAGUUUUUGGUGGAAAGUAGUUGUAGCAUUUGUGUUCAUGAGCUUUCUUUUCCUGCUGGAUUCCCUUUUGUUUUCUCUUUUGGACUCAAUAAUCAAGAAUCAUUCGGCCCCUCACAGAUCAACAGGGCAAGAGGUAUGGUUUAGGGUACUGCCAUCAGUUUGGCUUUGCAUCCAUGCUUUCCCAAUUAGCUCUAAAGCCUAAAUUUAGUUAAUUAAUAUGCUCUGCUUUUCUUUGACAUGCAUGUAAGAUUCAAAAAAAAUAUGAUUUAUUUAAUUUUGACAGGAACUUAGUAGCACAAAUUGAAAUGAAAAGAAUGAAUGCAAAAGUAGAUCAAAUGUGCAUUUAGACUACCUUAAUAUGAUAUGAUGCCUCAUUGCCAAGUGCCAAUUGAAUUUGUAGAUGAUAUUUCUGGAAUUCAGUUUAUUUUUUAACAAUUCAAAAGCUCAGUCCAAUUUCAUAAUUUUCAAGACCACAAGUCCUAUUAAUUUUCUUUUGGAAGGUACUUAUGAGCAAUUGGUGUAUACUAGUAAAACACGUAGCUCUCCUUUAUAUGUUAGGAAUUGAUGGUUUCCAGCUAGCUCAUACGGUCAUUGACUUUAGUUUCACUUCUGAAAGGGAAUAAUUUGUUAUACUUCAUCCAGAGAUUAGAAGCAAUUCUGGUUGAUCAGCUUACAUCUGUUAUGAAUACAAAAUUGAUGCUACUAUAUUUCCACCAUUGAGCUGAGUCUCACAUGAAAUUUAACAGAACAUAAGUAGCGCUAGACCGAUCCAUGAGGAUUUGAUGAUAGCAAAGUUCCAGAGAGGAUUAUACAUGAAUUAAUUUAUAUGUUAAAAAACUGUUUCUGUAUGUCAAACCUAAAUUAGAAGAGUAUCUAAAGUUAAGUUACAACAAUAUUUUUGUCCGUUUUAUAGAACAGGAGUUGUUUCUGUAAACGUGAGUCACUUUCCUGACAAUUUUGCAGACGUUCAUUCUUUUGCAGAAAAAUAAGCUGAUGUAUGUGUCUGCAAAUUGAAAAUUAAGCAACAUGGGGAAACUAUAUGUAACCUCUGCAUGAUGAUAAUAUUGAAGGCUGUUCAGUCAUACUUAGUUUAUUUACUGUGCUUAUUCUAAUAAACAUAGUAGGUGGAUGAGCUUUGUUUAUUUAGGAAUUAUUUGUUCCAAAGUAUCAGUUGUGAAGCAAUUCAUCACUAUCAGGAGUUGUUAUGAGCAGUAUUACAGAUGAAGUAGGUCAUAUAUCACUGCAGGAGAAAAUCACUGGCAUGUUGGAGGAAAAGAGUUCAACAAACAUGUAUGAUCGCCUUCUAAAACUGGCGGCCAGUUCUGUUAAUGAGGUUAGAACUAUUAUCAUUGCUUUCAUAUAGUAGAAUAUUUUCUUAAUCUCAAUUAUGGUGCAUGGCAGGAGUGUCUACUAUCUUAGCCGUAGAUUUUGUAAGUGCUCUGAGCUUCUGCAGUAAAUGGCAGCUACUCAAUUACUAGAACUAGGAAAGAUAAGGCCAAAUCAUCUGGUUGCAUCAUCAGAAUGUGUUUGAUUGCAUAAGCAUUGGUCUUGCAAGUGACUUGCCUAUCAGAUAAUUGAUAAUAUUAGGAGUUCACAGAAUAAUAUACUGAAAUAGUUUGCUCUUUUGUUGUCUGUUCCAUGGCUAGUUUGGGAUAUCAGCUGAUCUUGUACUUUUCAUUGGGUAGUUGUGGAAAACACGAGCAUGCUGAGAAAAGAUUUUAUUUAUUGUUGUUUCUGCACUCCCUUUUACCAAUUUAAUGUUUCAGAAAGAGUUGAAGAGAGGUGAAUCAAAAUUUUGGGAAGAAUCAAACCCUCAGGCAUCAAUGUGGAAGCCUUGUGCCGACAAGAAGAGUACCCAAGGUAUAAUUUAGAUUCAUUGAAUGAUGUCUAUGCACAAAUCAAAUUGUAAUUUGCUUCUUACAACAGUUAUGUCUCUGACAGUAGGUGGUUUGCUGUCUGAACUGUGGUGUAAUUGUUUAAAGUUGUCGGGGCAGGGAAAUCCAGGAACAGUUACAUUGUGGCCAAUGGAGGCCUAAAUCAGCAGCGAGUUGCUGUAAGCAUGUAGAAUUUAGUCCUCCUCCUUUUUGGUAUUUUUGGUUGUUGUAGGGUCAAGUUUCAUCUUACUUCCUGCAUCUUCUUCAUGUUUUUUUCUUUACUCUCUGAUUCUAUCUCUCUUAUUAAUUGCCACUGAAUGCUUCGUUCCAAUUUUUCAGGUCUGCAAUGCUGUUGCAGUUCCAUCCCUGCUAAAUGCAACUUUAGUCAUUCCCAAAUUUCUUUAUAGCAAUGUAUGGAAUGAUCCCAGGUCAGAAGUACAUUUAACUGUGUGUUGAGUCUAGAUUGGUUAAAUAUAUUGCUCCUAGGUCUUCCUCCUUCCAAUUUGGCCUCUUACUAUGUUGAUGCAUGCUUAUUGAGAGGAGAAUGAUGACUUAUCCGGCAUUAGAAGUCUCAAAACGAAAUUUGUUUUCUGAUUUGUUUCUCAAUUAUGUUUUUCCCUUCAUAACUGGUUCCUUUCUAUCCCUUUCCAUAAAAAGAUGUUGGAGAUUUCUUUCCGGGAGAAAAUUUUUUCAUGCAUUUACCUUUCAACAAAAGAAACAUGUUCUUGAGUUACUUUGAGGUAUUAUUGUUGAUGCAGUAUUAGAAACUAGUCAAUUUUUUUGACAGCCAAAAGAAAAGAUUAGAAAUAUAAAUUUCUUUUCAUCUGAUUCCUUCACUUGGAUUUACAAUUUCAGCUUUUCAAGGUACUUCUUGGCUAAUGGCAUUAUUUGAUGGUUCAAGGUGAUUUAUGAUAUCAGCCUUUUUAAGUUCUCCUUGGCUAAUGGCCUUAUUUGAUUAUCGUGGUUAUGUAAUUUGUAUUACAGUUAAUGAUACGAAUCUACAAAAUUGUAUCCAGUUUCUAAGUUUUUUCAGUUCUUAUUGUCACUUGAUCAUCAAUCAACAGAUGAAGGGAAGUUUCUUCAACUUCCUUUUUUUAUUUUUGCUUUAUUGGUUUAAUAUUAGUUCUUUCUCAAUCCAUCUAAUUGGGACCACGGGCAGGAACGGUUGCACCUCGGUUUUGUGCAUUUUGCACAUCGCGUAAUUUUAUUUGCACACGGCGUAAUUUUGUUUGCACAACGUGUAACUUUAAAAUAAAUUUUUGUGGGCCCCACACACGGUGUUAAAAACGAGGUACAAGAAGUGAUCUGAAUCAUACAAUUUUUUUGGGCCAAAUCUUGACUGUGAACAGCUCAGGAGCGGUCCUUCCCCUCAUCCAUCUAGUUGUUACAUUUGUGUGGUAAACACAAAUUAGUAUUGUUUUUCUUCCUUUAUGUGGUCAUACUUAUGCUUUCAAAUCUAUUCUUGCUUUUGUAAAACUUUCCAGUUAAAUACUUUUCAUUUUUCAUUUUUCCGCUAAAUAUUAUAAACUUGGUGGUUCAUAUGUUUCUUCUAAGAUUUGUUAGUAAAAUUUUCUCCAUAAUUAUCUUUUUGAUUUCAUAUGGUGAUCAUUAAGCUGUUACUCUCAAUUGGAACAAAAAUUGAAAUUGUCCCGAAGCUUGUAGUUCACUUUUAUACAUCUUAUGUUUGCUACUUAUUUCGUAUAUAUAAAAUCAAUACCAUACACUUGUUAUACAUCUUAAGUUUGAUUUCCUAUCAACCCGGUUUCAAACCUCUCGUGGAACAUUCAUUGUCAUAUAAGAUUUGUCUAAUGCAUCUUACCCCUUUGUGUGGUUGAUAGGUUAUUAUAUGGGAUGAAAUUUAUUUGAUGCGUACUCUGAAAUAGUGAUUGCGGUUGCCAAAAAAAAAAAAAAUCUACGCUGGACCUCACACAUCAAAGUUCUAAAAAAUUGGCCUGGGUCAUGGUCAAGAGCUUUCCCAAGUUGCGCCUUCUUCCCAGUUCCCAGAGUCGUGUCAAAAAAAAAAAAAAAAUGAGAGUCGUGUCAAGUUUUUUUUCUUUUACUUUUUGAUACGAGUCAUGUCGCGAUUGAAGGUUCUUCAAUGAAUUAAUUAUUGAAUCUAAUAUGACUAGAUCUAAGUUUGGUCGCCAGUCAGGCCUCGUAAGGAUUGACUCGGACACUCUGUAUUGACAAAAAAACAAAAAGUUUGGUCUCCAGUCACCGGCAAUGUCCAAUAAUAAAAAAUGAAACACAUGUAAGAUGCAAGAUGACUUUCUUUCCCUGAAGGCUUUGUUUUGAUUGAGAAAUUUGAGAAAUAAUUUAAAAUUCAUUCAAAUCGUUCUAAUUAUUUAAAUUACUUAAUAGACAUUUAAAUUUAUAAUAUAUCAACUAUUAAAAUUUAUUUUAAAUAUUAGAAUAAUUUAUAAUUUAUAAAUUUAAAUAUCUCCUAAAUAAUAUUAAACAACUAGAGAAAUUUAAAAGGAUCGCAAAUUUUUUGUCAAAUCCCUCGAUCCAAACGUAGCCCCAGUAAAAAAAAAAGUAGUUCGAUAGUUUCGACACUCUUCAACAGACAUACACAUAACACUACAAGAAAAUUGCGUUUCUGUGACAGGCGAAAGUCGUCACUAAAAAUUCAGAAGUCGUCACAAAAAAAGUCAGUGACGACUUUUACUGCUGUCACAGAGCUGUCACUAGUUCUAUGUCACAAAAGGGGGUCCAUGUGACGACUGUUGAAAGUCGUCACAAACGAUUUCGCUUUUGUGAUGACUCUUGUCGUCACUCAUUGUUGUACAUUGUGUGACGAUUUUUAUUGUCACUAAACUGGCUAAAUUCUUGUCAUAGUCAACCCUUGGAGUUGUCACAUUAUGCUUCCGUUCAGUGACGACUUUUGUUGUCAUUGUUUUCCAUCCAUAAAAAGUGACGACUUUCUAGUGUCACUAGUAAAACUUGUUGGCAGUGACAACUUUUUUAUUGUCAUUUAUUUUUUUGUAAAAAGCAAUAAACUAAUGUUAAUUACGCAACAUAGCUGCCAACAAUCACAAAACGUUCAUUGAGUAGCAAGGAGAAAAAAAAAGCCAACAUACGAAAAGAAAACCAACAUUCAUUUCCAAUAGAAGAUCAACCCAAAUACAUAUAUAUAUAAAUGUUGCCUCAAAUGAGUCAUAAACCAUGCACCAUCCAAAAUAAGCCAUUCAGUUACAAUACUAGUGAUUUCCCAUCCACAAUAGAGAGUAGUAAAGUUCUAUACAAAAAUAUGAGCACGAUUCCCAUCUAGAACAAAACAUGAGCAUGAUAGGCCUUGUAGUCUUCAAUUCAAAAACCAUCUUCACAGCAAUGACUGGCUUCUUCUUCUUGGGAAUCGUGUUAGAACCUACACGUUACCAAAAUUGAAGCAAUGAGCACUGGUGUUAAAACUGGAACUACACUUCUAGAUAGGCACCAUAUUAUAAAAACUAAUGUCCAUAAAUUUGAAAUUAUAGCAAUCUAAGUAAAUUGCUUAACACAAAAAUAAAGUGAAAUUAUAUAUAUUGAAUAGUAAGCAAGAACAUUAGCUCCAAAAGAAAGGAUCAACUAAGCAAAUGCAUAUAUUCAUUUAGCCCAAUCCGCCAUAUUUUUUGUUUCAAGAAAGCUCCAAUGUGGUGGAGUACAACUGAACCACGUUCAAGAGUUCUAAGAGAACUUUCUAGUUUACAUUGGAUAUUAUGUGCACAUCAAAACUCCUUAAUCUCUAUUAACAAGAACAUGUUCACUAUCCAGGUUAGACACUCCAACAGGACUAGUAGCCUGCUUGCUUUACAGGUUUACAAUCAUAGCUGGUCUAUCCGCUUGAAAAUCAUUGAGAGCCUAGAUGAUCGUGAACCACACAGUAUAUCAAAAAAAAAAAACACACACACACACACACAAUCACAGGUGCCUCUUUUUCCUUAGCACAAAAAAAAAAUUUCUGAUACAGAAAAAUUUCGAUCCAUGUUGUUUUUAAUACUUUGCUGUGUCUUUAAACAAUAAUUAAUAAACUCAUGAAACCAAUCAAGUUAAGUACUAGAACUACACAGUUCAUGUGUACUACAACCAAAAGAAAAUUAAUCGAGUCCAAAUGGGUUAAACAUAUUAAACAGCACUGUGAUUAAUUCUCUCACAUGAAUUAGCAACAAAAAUCUCAUCUUAAUGGUAAAAAAUGCGAAAGGAUCAUCCAAUGAUCCAUAAAUCUGAUUCUGCAAUUGAUUAUCAACCAGAACCUCCACUCGGGUUAUAUAUAAAUGUCAAAGAUUAGACUUUUUACAACGAACCAUUCAUUGUAUGGUAAUCAGGACUGCUAUAUAUUGAGAACAAAAAGGUAACAAUAUAUAUUACACAUCUGAUAGAUUUGCUCAAAACCGAGGAAAUUUUAGCUGAAAAAUUUUCACUGUCUCAAUGCAUAAAGUUGGGAUUGCCAAAUGUUAGAAGAAAAGUAAUAAAUACUAAGGAUCUUAACAUCAAAUUCGUGUUUCUAAUAUGGAUAUAAGAUAGAAGGGUGUGAACUUAGCCCGUCCAAAAAAUUUUAAGAAGAAUCAUAUAAAUAUAUUAGCUGUAAUCAAAAGAGACAGUUUUCUUGAUUAAUGACUCUAUUCGGCUGUUACCACUUGUUUGACUAACGUCUGGAGUUAAUGAUCAACCACACAAAGUAAAACCAGUCUCUAUAAGAUUGUAACAUCAAUAUGUGGAAUCCAAAGGGAAACAAAUACUGGUAGAGUAGAAUACCAAACAAUAUUGUACUUAGAAUCCCUUGAUCAAAUAGCAGUUUGGGAGUUGAGAUCACAAAUCCGAAUACAUCCCAACGUUCAAACACAUUUGCUUUAAAAACACUAAAGUUUUGGUUGCAACAUCCAGCACCUCAAUGGCUGUAAUUAAACAUGAACAAGAUUUCAAGCACCUAAAUCAGCCUCAAGCAACUCAAUUGCAUUAAACAGGAAUCAGAUUUGGUGGAACCAGAUUUCAAGUGCCAUCAAGCAACUAAAUUGACAUCAAGCAACCCAAUUGUAUUAAAAAUGAAUCUCUAUUUUGUAGAACCAGAAUUCAAGUGCCUCAAUUGUAAUAACUAUGAAGAGCAAACAAUUUAUUUAUACCUGACACAGAAGUUGCUUAUUUGCGCAAGUCUUUCAGCUGGUUAGCUAACUCAUCAUACAGUCAUGGAUUUGAGAAAAGAGCAUUAAAAGUAUGUAGAGAAAAGGAAGGCCAAGGAAGACCAUGUAGAAAGCUGAAAGAAAAACCCCAAGAGAGCAAGGUCAGCUUCAUUCAGAACAAAUUUAGCUUGAUGAUCUAACAGCCUAACAGAAUGUAUCUGCGACAACAAAGACACUCAGAAGCCACAUGCGUGCACUUGCUCAUAAACACAAGGCAUGAAAUUUAUCUUGCUAUAUUAACUAACCAAUUGCUUUACCUUUCCUCUCUUUUUUUUUCCUUUUUCCGACAGUGAAACCCACAAUACCCCCCUCUCAUAACAUCAAUUCGGACUCAAACAUAGGGCAGCAUAAAAACAGAAAAAGUGCAAAAACCAGCACGUCAGAGCCUCUCAAGACUCUGUUUUCUACCAUGAAAAAUUAGCUAUCAUGUUCGGACAAACACUGAACUAGCCGAAUGUUCCUUUUUCUCACACGCAAAACGCAAGCAAAAUCAUCUUCAAGUAGAACUCUCAACUGGGCAUUUUAUCGAACAGGUCAGGGGUAUAAAGAAUUUCGCCAAUCCUUUGCUCAAUUUGAAGUUAAUCAGCCCCAAAAUUUACAGCAUCCCAAUCAAAUUUCUCACACACAACAGAAAUUAUAGCCCCACAUGAAUACAUAGACGUCAGAAAAGGAUAAAAGUUUUACUAAAAAGAAGAAAGGAAGAGAAAAUCAGGUCAAUACCUCUCAUUUUCACCCAUCCGCUAACAAAAUUAAAGAGAGGAAUGGAGAAAGGGAACCUUACCAAGCUUUUGCGGUGAGGACUUGCAGGUGGUGGUGGUGGAUUCUGGUGGCAGCAGCGGCAACAGCAACUCCUUGCUGAUUCCUUCGAUUCUUGGUUUUCCUUUGCUCUGUUUUCUUGUCGAAGCUCUUCCCUUUUUCCACCCCUCUUUUUUCAAUUUUUCUUCCGUCUACUCUCUGGCUCUCUCUCUCUCUUUUUGCUCUGUUUUCUUUUUCCUUUCUCCAAACCUCCUCCCUUUUUCCGUUCAGCCGAAGACCUCCUCUCCUUUUUCUCUUUCAUCCAACCAAAUUAAUGCAGUCAAAAAAUGUUCGCAUUUCAUAGCUCCUCAAAGAAAGCCGGUUCUGACCAUCCCUAACACUGUUAAUACUCCAGAUCGCAAGUGUUUCGGAUGCGAUUUGGCCAAGAGUAUUACCUUCCCCACUGCUAAUUAACAAUCUAAUUCAUAAAUUAGUCUUUACAAUAGAAGGCUGAGCAGCUUUUGAAAGCAAAAAAAAAAAAAAAAAACACAUACCGCACAAUUAGCUGAAGAGGGGGUCGGAGAAAAGUCUAAACUAAAGUCGCGGAACGAGGAGGGAGCUUGGAAGUGUUCUGACUUCGCUUCUUCGGCGAGCUUGACCUGAAGAUUGGCACUCGUCAAUGGUGCUUUAGAGGAGCAUUUUGUGGAAGCAGAAGGUGUCUGAGGUCCAGAGUUUUUCGGUGUUCACCAUAGGAAGGAAAGACUGAGAAUGAAAUUUGUCUAAGUGUUGGAAGAGAGAAGCGGCGAGAAUUUUGUUUGUCUGUGAACAACCAAAAACGACGUCGUUUUGUAGAGAUUUCAGCCACAACCUUCGCGCCUCUUUCAGAUUUCAGACUGGCGCUCUUUUUUUUUGGCAUCUAAACACGUCUUUGAGAUUCCAGGAUUCACGCCUUUAGCUUCAUACAUCUUUUUUCUUUUUUUUUUCCCUGGUAAAAUUUUUUUUUUCAGGUUUCUUUUUUCAUACUUAAUCUCUUUUUUUUUUCUUAAUCUCAUCUAUAAAUAUCAAAUAAAUUAUUUGAUAUUGGUUUCUUUUUUGUGCAUGUAUAUAUAUGUGUGCUUGUUUGUGUCUAUAUACAUCUUUUUGGGUUUGGACAACUCAAUAUACAAAUUAUUUAUGAAAUUACCUUACAAUAAAACUUACACAAUAAAAUAUGUUUCAAAAAUUUAACAUGCAUAGAAUUGCUUAUAUACAGUAUAGCACUUCUUACUCAUGCUUAUCAUACUCUUUGUCUAUUACUUAGCUUUUAUAAUAAAUUAAAAGAAACAUGUAAUCAAAUAUUCUGUUAAAUGUGUUACAACUCUAAAUCUUAUUGCACGACAGAUAUUUUACUGAAUAAUUUUAAUUUCGUAUAUACCCAUUCCAUAUGAAAAUAAUUAUUACUUAUGAUGUAUUACACGUUAUACUAAUCUUUCACAAUGCUAACAUUAGACUACAAAUUAUAUUCAAUUACACUUUUUCAAAUUAUUUCAGUUAUUGAUUUUUGGGGGUUGUUAUAAGUAAUAAUAAACAAUUCAUGAAAAAAAUUUUAUGCUCAGACAUGUCUAUUAUGUCCACUUAGCAAAAAUUACAAAUAUCUAAAACUAGUUUGUUAUUAUAUCAUUUGCAUUUUGCUAAUACGUAAUGAAUAGGGGCUAAAUUAUAAAAUUAGGGUGUCAUAUCUUCUGUGCUUUUGCUCAUAUAAAAGAAUUGGGGACUAAAUAAUAAAAUUAGGGUGCCAUAGUAGAAUUAGUGAAAUUUGAUGAAAAUACUAUAGAAUUGCUUAUAUACAGUAUAGCACUUCUUACUCAUGCUAUCCUACUCUUUGUCUCUUACUUAGUUUUUAUAAUAAAUUAAAAGAAACAUGUAAUCAAAUAUUCUGUUAAAUGUGUUACAACUCUCAAUCUUAUUGCACGACAGAUAUUUUACUGAAUAAUUUUAAUUUCGUAUAUACCCAUUCCAUAUGAAAAUAAUUAUUACUUAUGAUGUAUUACACGUUAUACUAAUCUUUCACAGUGCUAACAUUAGACUACAAAUUAUAUUCAAUUACACUUUUUCAAAUUAUUUCAGUUAUUGAUUUUUGGGGGUUGUUAUAAGUAAUAAUAAACAGUUCAUGAAAAAAAUUUAUGCUCAGACAUGUCUAUUAUGUCAAUACAAAUAUCUAAAAAUAGUUUGUUAUUAUAUCAUUUGCAUUUUGCUAAUACGUAAUGAAUAGGGGCUAAAUUAUAAAAUUAGGGUGUCAUAUCUUCUGUGCUUUUACUCAUAUAAAAGAAUUGGGGGCUAAAUAAUAAAAUUAGGGUGCCAUAGUAGAAUUAGUGAAAUUUGAUGAAAAUACUAUAGAAUUGCUUAUAUACAGUAUAGCACUUCUUACUCAUGCUAUCCUACUCUUUGUCUCUUACUUAGUUUUUAUAAUAAAUUAAAAGAAACAUGUAAUCAAAUAUUCUGUUAAAUGUGUUACAACUCUCAAUCUUAUUGCACGACAGAUAUUUUACUGAAUAAUUUUAAUUUCGUAUAUACCCAUUCCAUAUGAAAAUAAUUAUUACUUAUGAUGUAUUACACGUUAUACUAAUCUUUCACAGUGCUAACAUUACACUACAAAUUAUAUUCAAUUACACUUUUCCAAAUUAUUUCAGUUAUUGAUUUUUGGGGGUUGUUAUAAGUAAUAAUAAACAAUUCAUGAAAAAAUUUUUAUGCUCAGACAUGUCUAUUAUGUCAACUUAGCAAAAAUUACAAAUAUCUAAAAAAAGUUUGUUAUUAUAUCAUUUGCAUUUUGUUAAUACAUAAUGAAUAGGGGCUAAAUUAUAAAAUUAGGGUGUCAUAUCUUCGGUGAUUUUGCUAAUAUAAAAGAAUUGGGGGUUAAAAAAUAAAAUUAGGGUGUCAUAGUAGAAUUAGUGAAAGUUGAUGAAAAUACUGUAGUAUACAGUGAUGCAAAACGUUGUCACAAAAUUGGAAUCAGGUAGACUUUCAAUGACAACAAGUUAUGUUGUCACUGUAGAGAGAGCGUUUGUGACGACUUUACUUGAGUUGUCAUAAAAUCAUUUCCCGCGGCAUCAAAUGAGAUGCGCGCCAACUAUUUCGUGACGAGUUGAGAAUGACAACUUCCAAUGUUGUCACUGAUUAUGCUUGUGUUGUACUCAUCUGUGAUGACACCUAAUGUCGUCACUGAAUUAGGUUAUCUGUGACAAGAUUUUUGUUGUCACAUAAAUUUUUGUCACUGAAAAAUAUAUUUCUUGUAGUGUAAAGAAUGACUCAGAGACUACGAAGAACCAAGAGAGCGAAACCACUUGUAACGCUUGCUCACCUGCCCUAGUAUUUUUGAAUUGAGUUGAGUCCCCCUCUUUUUUUUUUUUUUUUUUUUACUUUCAUUUACUUUCGGUAACAAUAGGUUGAACCCUUCUGUUAGUACCAGUGCUAGAUAUUCAAGCAAUCAAUGUGCGGAUCACUUUGUCAAUAAGAAAUAUUCUGAAAUUAUUAAACUUUGCAAAAGAUUAACAGAAGAAAAAAACUGAGAAUACUUCUGAGACAUAUUUCAUGUAAAGGAUAGUGCAUAAAUUAUAAAAAAUACUUGUUAUAAAUUCAGGUAAAAUGAUAUCCUACUAUGAUAUACUUCUACAACACAAGUCAAGUAAUUAGUUCUAAUGAUAUGAAGUAAAAAAUUCUUUCAUUGAUUUGGUCAAGGAUUUACUGACAUUAAUUAUAGCGAGAAGAUGUUAGGAUACAAAAUAAAUAAAUAAAUAAAUACUGAUACAAAGAAAACCAUUAACUGAAGAAUUUAAAACAUGAAAGUGCUAUAAUAUUUUUAAAUAUAUAUAUUUUUUAAAAAUUUAUUUGCCUGUAUUAUCAAUACAUUUUUCAAUUACCUUUUUAUCUCACAUACAUCAUAUAAAAAAAGUACUACAAUGUUUUUUUUUCAAAAUAUUAUUCCAAAUAAUCUACUCCAAACACGCACACAUAUAAACACCAAACUUGAUCAACUUUAAUCAAGUGAUAAUCAAAACUGGUUUAUUUAUGUGAUAAGUAAACCGCGACAUUCUUAUUGAUCACAAUGACUUUGAAAAUAUUUGACAUUAGCAAAGCUCUUUAAAAAAACAAUCGAGAAAUAAUCAAUCAAAGUGUUUGGUAAUCAUGAAGAUGUGAAAUAGGUCACCACUAAUGAAAUGAAGUAGGGUUAUCUAGCCGAAAAUCAUGUUGACCAAAAAAAAAGGCUAUUUAGAAUUUUAAUUAUUUAGAAGUUGAUUUUUUAUUUGGUAAUUAGAUUAGAAUUGUUGUUAAAGUUGGUUUAGAAAAUAUAAAGCCUGUUUGAAAGGUGAGUUUUUUGGGAGUUUGUCUAAAACUUUACUGUAGCUUACUGUGAAAGUUUUUUAAAAAAAUUUUGAAAUAUGUAGAUUUUUGAAUAUUUUAAAGUGUAUAAUUUAAAAACUUUGAGAAAGUUUUUGAGGUUACUAUAGAUAAAGUUUUUAAAAAACUUGUAGCAGAUAAACUUGGCAAAAAACUUGGAUUCCAAACAAUGAAUAUAGUUGAAUUGUGUUAAGACAUUAAUAUUGGAAUAAGUUACAUGGCUUUAUUUAUCUAUUUAAGGACUUGAAAUCCUAAGUUUGUAUUUGAGGAAAAAAAUCAAUUUGUUGAAUAAAUUAUUGAUCCUUCCUUGCCUUCCUUAUCCUUGAUAUUUUGAUAUGUUCUGCCGUUUGAAGCUUUUGCUUCAUCUAUUAUGACUAAUCAAAGUCUACCAAAGUCCACGGAACCCUGCAGUACACGAAGCCGUACGACUUGUUCAUCUUUGGAUGCCUUUUUUUUUUUUUUUUUUUUUCAUCUUUGGAUGCCUUCUUUCUUGAUAUGAGAAUUAUAAUACCUCUACUGCGUUUUUUUUAAAUGCUAACAAAUGGUACCAGAACCUUGGUCAAGAGUUUGAUUCUAAAAUGUUUAUGAAACUUGAAGGGUGUGAAGAAUUUAUGAUAGAAGAUCAUGUUGGAACAGCAAUAAAGAAAAUACUAUGAAAUGGCUGCAAAAUUAACUGGAAAAAGGUUUCAAAUCAUGAUUGCAAAUCACUUUUUUUAAAACUUUAUUUGUCCACUAUAUUGUGCAAAAGAUCAAGGACGAAUAUUCUUUAGGAUAAUAUAAAGUUUGGUUGCAAAACUCUGCACUAAAUUGUUACAACUCCCAAAGAACAAAGAAGAGAAGAGCAAAAAUUUUUGUAGUGUUUGUAUAUCUUUUUGUCUGCAGCCAAAAGACCAUAAAUUGAUUCACAUAAAUAAGAUUUCAUGUUCCUUAAACAAUUAGUAACCAUUAGAAACAUGUUUAGAGUUGUAUCUUUUCAAAUGACGAUUGAAACAUGAAAGGUUGGGAAUGAAACGUAAAAAGCUACUUCUAGAAUUAUGUCCGGAUUUUCAAUAUUUAAAAAAAUUCAAACAAUCCCCCACAGAAGGUGAAGAAUCAGCCAUUCAUUCAGCUAUGUGCAACUUUGGGCCUGUUUGGCAAAGAAGUUUUUGACCAAGUUUGUCUGCCACAAUUUCUUAACAAUUUUAAUUACAGUAAUUUCAAAAAAAAAUUAAAAGUUUUUAAACUAUAUAUUUCAAAAUAUCCAAAAAUUUAUACAUUUCAAAAAUUUUUCCUAUAACUUUUACAGUAAAUUACAGUAAAAUUUUAAACAAACACUCAAAAAACUCAUUUGCCAAACGGGUUCUUUCUUUGGGUGGUGUCUAGCUUGGUGUAGUACUGUUUCUGUUAAUGUUUUGUGUAAAGGCUUGAAUUACUUUUGCCUGGAAAUCACAUAAUCUACUGGAUUGCAAUGGAUCUUUUUUCUUGUAUGUGGUCACCCUAAUCUGAAAAAUAGAAUCCAAGUUUGGCAUAAUAUUUACUAUUGGCUGUCUAAUUAUUCAAAACCAAUUGCUAUUGUGGGCAAAUUUAACCAGGCAGUUAAUUCAGAGGUAAACUUACUUUUAAUGGACCUUCUUGGAUGCUGAAAGGAGCAAACUACUCACCAAUUAACUUGAUAAAUGUGCAUGAAUUACAGCAUCUAGGUUCUUCUAAUGCCGUGUAUGAGAGACUUGACGGCGUUUGUUAAUCAGGCUUGGAUUCAAGUUUUCCCGAAACCUAUAGUAAAAAAUCUUCCCAUCAUGAGAUCGGAUCAUGGCCUUGUAAUUUUGGACACAUAAUUUGGUCCUACUAAGAAGUUUUCGAGACCAAAAUUUGAAGCAUUUUGGUGGCGGGAUAAUUAAACGGGGAGUCAUCCCCAUUUUCCACUUCCUCAAUUUGACCUACCAUGGAUGCAAAGAAAGUACCAUACUCAUUUAAAUACUCCGCAUAUAAACCAUGAGGUUGAACCCACAAAAGUAUUUGUGUAACUGAGAUACAAGAAAAAAGCCCGGUUUGGUACCCAGCGGUGAAGAGCCAAUAACGUAACAUGCACCGAGCAAAGAACACUGUUUAACCACUGAACCAAAGCUCACUAGCCACCAAAAGGGAUUAAAUCCCUCUUUGAGUGAUAAGUCGAGGGUUCGAAUCACAUUUACAGUGAAAAAAAUUCAAACAGAGUGUCAGGACACCUAUUUGGUCUAAUUAAAUUCUUAUAACUACUAACUUUUUAUACACAGUCUCUUUAAACUCCACUCCCUAUAUAUUAUGAUAGAUUAAAUUAUAAAAAUAUUAUGAUUACUUAAAAAAAAAAAAAAGUAAAGACCACUGUUUAAAAUAAAGAGCAUCUCUUGGAGCGAGGAAAAGCCAAGAGAUAAAAUUUCCCAUCAAAGUAAGAACUUGAACAUGUGGUUUCCCGUUCAAUUGCAUGUACUCUGUCGCAUCUCUUGUAGCGAGGAAAAGCGAAAGAGGUAAAGUUCCCAUCAAAGUAAGAAUUUGAACAUGUGGUUUCCGGUUCAAUUGCACGUACUCUAUCAUAAUUUCCAAGUUUAAAUGAAAAUAAUUUACUCCUCCGUCCCAGUUAUUUGAUUCUAUUUUAAGAAUCCAAUUUUUAAGAAUAGUAUUUUGAUUGUGGCGUAUGUACUUCUUUUUCUAAUUUUAUCUUUACAGAUUCAAAAUUUAAAUUUUAAUGAUAACAUGCAUAUGAUUAAACAGAGUUAUAUUGAAAAGAGAGAUUAAAAGAUGUUUUAAUUUUUUUAAUAGAACAGAUAUUUUGAAACACCUCAAAAUAAAAAUGGGAUAAUUUCACAAACCUCCCCUGAGGUUUCUGACACUUGCACUGAGACCCCUCUAGGUUUUAAAAAUUUUACCUAGAUCCCUUGCUUUUCAAAUUUGGUAACAAUUCAGUCCAAUUAGGAUUAAAAUAUUACUAUCAUGAUAGAGAUGACAUUUAUAUUUCAUGAAUAUCCUCUUCCUCCCCAUAUUAGUACAAGAUUGCUUGUUAAUAAAAAGGUAGAGAUGAUUAUGGGUAUUUUAUUUUGAAUCAUUUAAUUUAUGUUAAAUACAUAAUUAUUUGCAAAUAAAAUUCAAAAGCCGUUACACAAAUAUUUUUACGAAAGGAAAACUAGCAUGUUUUGUAUUUAAUAUAAAUGAAGUAUUUGAAAGUAAAAAAAAAAAUGUCCAUAACAUACCAGUUCUUUACGAGUUUCUUCCAUUAUAUGAAUAAAGCACUAGUUAUGUAUGAGUAUUUUACUUUGAAUCAUUUAAUUUAUAUUAAAUACAUAAAUGUUUAUAAGUGAAAUUCAAAAAGUGUUACACUAAUAUUAUUACGAAAGGAAAACUAGUAGGUUUUUAUUAACAAGGUUUUUAUUAACAAACAAUCUUGUACUAAUAUAGGGAGGAAGAGGGUAUUCAUGGAAUAUAAAUGUCAUCUCUAUCAUGAUAGUAAUAUUUUAAUCCUAAUUGGACUGAAUUGUUACCAAAUUUGAAAAGCAAGGGAGCUAGGUGAAAUUUUUAAAACCUGGAGGGGUCUCAGUGCAAGUGUCAGAAACCUCAGGGAAGGUUUGUGAAAUUAUCCCAAUAAAAAAAAAAGAUGCUUUCAAUGCAACAUAGGAGUACUAAAUAUCCAAGAAAAUAAAGCUCAAACCUGGCCACAUAACGAGACAGCUGAGGGAAUUGAAGAUCAACAUUCGAGGCAUGUGCACUUGAUUUGCUGAAGAAGGAACAUCAGGAGGAAUCUUUCAUCUUUCGUCAGAAAAAUCUGAGCCAUGUCCAGACUCCCUAACCACCAGCCUUUGGCCCCGUGGCCACCGGUUAAGCCUUUCAAUUGUUAUAUUAAGUGGUUUCUUAAAAAAUUUAGAGAGAUAUGUAAUGCAUCCAUCUAGUCUGGUAUUGGUUCAAUCUCCAUCGACCUUUUCAGAUCCAGUUGGGUCUCUCCCUUAGAUUGAAAUAGUGUAAUAUACUAUAGAUAAGGUGAUGAAUGACAAAAUAUAUAAGACUCCCUACUUUCAGACCAACCACCUUGUCCAUCCAUUGCGAAAUGCACCUGCCAUAACAACAUAAGAAGAAAGAGACAGGUGAACCACACGGUGAAACCAGUGCACAGAACAGGCAAUAUGGCAGUAGGAGACCCCAAAGGAACAAGAAAUAUCCAAAAAGGCAUUAUGGCUGUAGACAAUGACGCAAUAAGGGGAGCUGAUGAAGGCCAUGACGCCUUCUAAAUUUUGAAAAUUUUAAUUUAUAAUGUAUAAAAUAUAUAUAAAAAAAUAAAGUUGAUCCCUCCUAAUUUUUUAUAAUUUUAAUUUUUAUCAUGAGAAUUUAUAUAUAUUUUUUUAAUUAAAGUUAAUAUUUGAUUUUUUAGAUGUCAUAUAUUUAAAUAGAUAAAAUUUAUUUUAAUCAUAACAUAUUAAGAAAAUUUUGAUCCAAAAAAAAAAUCUUGAGUCCGUCACUCACUGUAGAAGGCCCCCAAGGAACAAGAAGUAUCCAAAAAGGCAUGGCUGUAGAAGACCCCAAAGGAACUAGAAUUGUCCAAGUUUACGAAAUACGCAAAGAGACAGACAAAGUAUGGUGGCGUGCGGGAAAAGUAAUCGGGACAGAGCAACUCCGGUCUUGGAGUGGCAACCCAUGAUGUUGAAGGAGAAGAAGAAAAGCUCCUAAUUGAGAAGACUUCUCAGUUCAAAGAGAAUUUCUUUACGUAAAGGUCAUUUUUCAUCCAUGCCAAGUUGGACUGCAAGCAUCAUCGUGCCUGUUGUUUGUUUUUGGUCCAAGGGAAGACUCCAAGCUUUACCACAAAGAAGGAAGAAAGAGACGGGUUUGAGAGUUGAAUGGAACUUUGGGAGUCGUGUGGAUUGCUAUUUUUAAAAAAUUUUGUAGAUAAAUAUAUUGUACCGGUUUAAUAUAUAUAUAAAAUAAAAAAUAAUUAAAAAAUAUGUUUAUGUAAAACGUAAUUUUUUUUUUUGGAGAAAAAUGGUUUUUCAAACAAGAAGAUCAGUUUGAUUAAUGUUUUCAACUUGUUCCUUUAGUUGUGAUGUUCAUAUUACAAGUUGAAUUUUCAAUGCGGACCAUUUAUGUAUGUACAUUUGGGGCACUCUAACACAAUCCAACCAUUGGGAUAACCGAGAAUAAAUUCUGUCUCUAUCUCUGAGACCAAAAAAAUAAAAGAUGAUAAACUCUGUUUGUGUUUUAAAAUGAACUCGGGGUUGGAACUUGGGUACUCAAUACCUGCAAAUAGUUUUGACCAAAAAAAAAACCUGCAAAUAGUUAAAGAUAAUUUCUGAAUGAACAACUUUUAAAAAAAAAAUUUAAGAUGCAUUAUUAUGUAAAAUAUAAUUGUAAUAGAAAAAACAACCAAGGAUUCUAAUUUUAUGAAGUAAGAGAAGCAUUAUGUUGCAAUCAUUGUUUGAAUUAACUAUUUCAACGCCUUUGUUAAUUAGGUCAUCUAACAUAGGAUGGAGGAAAAAAUGCAAUCCAACGGGCCAUGGGUAGGCUUUGUCUCUUUCGUUGGAAAACGUGGCGGUCGUUGCAGAUAGCGAGAUAGAUUAUUGAGACAGGCAAACCAUGGAAUCAAGCCUAGAACAAUUCCAGACAGAUUUAAGAUCCAACCUCCAACCACCGCCUGGAUUGAUUAAGUCAAUAAUGGCAGCUGUCUCAUGGUCUCUUGCUUCGCAUUAGCGGACUUCUUUUUCUUUGUUGCCAUUUUCUUUUUUUCUUUCUUUUAUGCAACAUUCACCCAAUGUUUUUAAACUCGGACCGGUCAGUGAACCGGAGAGGUGGCCGGUUCGCGGUUCGACCGGUCCAACCGGCCGGUUCAAAGGUUCACUUUUUUUUUUUUUUUUUAAGUGUUAAGUACUAAACAGGUUUCAUUCUACACUUGAACUUUACUAACAUAACUUAAUUUAAGUUAUGAUAAUAAUAAAUUUUCUAAAAAUUAUACACAAAACAUGGAAUGAUAAAUAUAAUUAAAAUAUCAUAAUUCACCACAAGUUUUCAUAAAUUCAUUAUAAACAUAAAUAGAUACAAUCCAAAUGUGCACCAAUUAUCACAAAUAAAAACACAAAAAAUAAAUUAAUUAAAUAUUGAAAUUCUUUUACAACCCUUAAAAAAAUCCAUAAAAGAGUUCAAGUUAAGACAAACUAUUUGAAUAGCAAACUUUUAUCAGUGGCAUGAUAAGCAACCACACCACCUUCACAAUUUCAUCAACUUAAGCUGAAAAAGUUAAAAUUUUAUUAUAAAAAUAUAAAUCUAAUUGCUCAAACUAAAAAAAACUAAAAAUUUUUGAAAAACAAAUAUACAGUUAAACACAUAAAAAAUUAAUUGCUACUAAACAUUACUAAUUAACAUGUUAUAUUAAAUUCAAUGAUCCUAUACCAUUAAUUAUUUUAAAUUCAAUUAUCAAUAGCUUCGAUUAUGUGCCAACUACCAUAUUUUUGACCAACCCAAUGUUAUUAUUUGUAAUUCCUACCCAAUUCCUACACGGAUGUGCACUACUUUUGUAAAAAUUUCAUCCUUAAUUAAUCGAAUAAAAAUAAAACAAAAAUGAGGGAAACAUAUGAAAAUUGAGGGGAAAAAGAAGAAAAUGCAAAAAAUCAACUAAAGAUAAUAAUAUAGAAAAAAACCUUGAAAAGAAAAAAAUUAAACUUACUAAAAUGUUGGAAAACAAGAAAAGUUGAAAUUUUCAACUUGUUUACAAUCUGCUAAAGAUAAUAACCUGAUAAUAAUGGUGAAGACUUGAGAAAAUCUUGUUGUGGAUAUUUGGGUUAAAAAUGGUUAAGAAGAAAAAAUUGAAAAAAAAAAUAAGAGAAGAACUUGAUGUUUUAAUAUAUUUUUUAGUCAAGUAGAAUUCUCAGCAAACUUAAGUACAGUCUAGCGGUAAGUAGGGGUGGCAAUUUUCGACACGACCUGAAAACACGACACGAACCUAACACGAAAUUAAUGGGUUUGGGUUGAGGUUUUGGGAAUUCGGGUCAGAAUUGGGUUGGACCCGAUGAACCCGAAAAGAAAACAGGUCGAUUUCGGGUCAACCCGUGGUGACCUGAUAUGACCCGAUAUGACCCGUUUACGAAUUAAAAUAAUUUAAUAAAUAUAAAAAUAAUUUAAUCUAACUAACCUAAGUUAUUCUUUUUUUCAAAGGCAUUAAUUACUUAAUCAUAAAUGAAUUUAUUUAAUUUGUGUGAAGUUGAAAUUAUUAUAUUUGGACAAAUAAUAUAUUAUAUUAUUUUUUACUUUUAUACUGUUUUAAUUUAUUUUAUAUUUUGUUUGGGAUAAAACACUUUUACGGUGUUUAAUUUAUUUUAGAUUUGGUUUGGAAUUACUUAUUUAAAUUUUUAUUACUUGAUUAUGUAAUUAGUUUUGUGAGAAAUUGAUUUUAUUAGAAAUUAUAGUGAUAAAUUAAUAAAUUAAAAUUAAGUUUCGGGUCAUUUCGGGUCGACCUGCCAACCCGUCAACCUGAAAUUUUCGAGUUCGGGUCAGCAUACCUGACCCGUCACGGGUUGGCGGGUCGGGUUCGGGUCAACAGAUUUUUCUGACGGGUUGACCCGAACCCGACCCGCCAACCUGAUUUGGACCCGAAUUGCCACCCCUAGUGGUAAGAUUGUCAUAUUUAAACUUGGAGUUCCAGGUUCGAAUCUUAGCUACACCAUUCUUGAUAUUUUGUUGAAGAAUUUAAAAAACCGCCGGUUCACGGUUCUUAACGGUUCGCACGGUUCGUCCGGGUUUCAACGGUUCUCCAUGAACUUCCGACUUUAGCAUUAGACCGGACCGGUGACAUGGCCGUUCGCGGUCCAACCGGUCGAACCGGCCGGUCCGGUCCGAUUCUGAAAACAUUGCAUUCACCAAUGAAAGUGCAGCACCUUUAAUCAUCCUCAUAUCGAUUAGCAAACAAAUGCAUUGCUAUUAGCUAUUGGUCAUUGUUUAGUCUUUUGAUGUAGCUGAUUAACUUGAAACCUACCCACUUCUCUUUUCUUUUGUUUGUGAAGUUUUGAAACUUUUAUGAAUGUAUUCUUUGAACAAAUAAAGGAAUAUGUAACAUUUUUUGUGAUGUGAUAUAUAUGUGAUAAAAAAAUGAUUAGAAAUUGUGCCCAUGAAACGAGCGGGAUAAUCUUUGUAAAUUUUUUUCAGAAAUCAUACUAUUUGUUUGGAUUGCAUUUUUUUAGAUUUUUUGUAAAAAAAAUUAUUGUAACGAUUUGAUAUAUGUAAAAUAAAAAGAUGAUAGAAAAAUGUGUUUACGGAAAAUGUAACAAUUUUUCUUUGAAAAAUUGCUGUCCAAGCAGGAACCUAUUUUAUUUUGGCUUUUCCAUUGUUUGGGACCUUUGGGUACCCACAUGCUUAACAGUGGGCACUGAAAUUUUACUCCGGACAGGUUUCGUGUAAAUUGGUUUACGGUAUGGAUGUUUCGCACCCUGAACUAUUAUUUGUAGUUUUUUUUUUUUGAAAGUAUUAAUUGAUAGUAUUAAAAUGCCUUGUUCUAUUAAUUUCUAGCACGUUCCUUAAAUUAAUUGAAAACCUCUCAGAGCCAAGGUAUAUUGUUAAUAGUAAAUCUUAUAUACAUUGAUAGUGUAUAUACUAUCACGGUUAGAUAUAUUAUAUAUAUAUAUAUACAAAAUUUGAAUUUCAAAUUCAAAUUGAAUUAUGUGUUAUGUAACUAAUGGUGAAUGUAUAUAUACACUGUCAGUGUAUAGAAGAUUAAUCAUAUUUUUAAAUAAAAAGACUUUUACCCUCAAGUGAAGGAGAGAGUAGCAGUGAAUAAAUGAAAAUCGGAAGUAUUAAAAUCUUUUUAAUUGGGAAAAAUGGUUUGUAAAUUUUUUUUGAUUUUUAAUGAAUUUGAACAAUGUACUAAAAGUAAUAGCAAAAGUUAGUAAAGUGCUAAAUUUGACGAUAAGUGUCAAAAGUACAAAUCAAUGAUAGUUUAGGAUGUAAAGUGCAUUUAAUCCUUAUAAAUGUUAGACAUUUAUAAAAAAGCUCUAUCUAACAAGUACCUUAAGAUGGAGUGCAGAUAUAACUGUUUUUCUUUCUUUCUUUCUUUUAUUAAAAAAAGAAGCUAAAUAGUGAAAGCAUAUAAAUGUAAGGAUUGCCACUUGAAGUACAUUCCAUAUUUUGCUGGAAAUAAUUAUUUGGCGCUUGAAAAAAAAAUUAAAACAAAGGACCACAAUACAGCCAAAAGUUAAAACCACACGUGUAAUGGUGAUAUGGAGAAGUGGGCCAAAGUUCCCACGUCACUUGAUGACUAGGAGAAAGUUCACCUCCUCCACCUGCUACUAAAUACUGCACGUAAGAAAGAGAGCUAAAUAGUAAAUACAUCACAUCGAAGAAAAAAUAUCUGACUCAUACGAUAGCACCAAAAUCUUGAAGCCCAAUGGGCCAUAGAUUGGAUUGGCCGAUUCACUGAUUAAACUAUAAAUAUAUCAUACUUUCGAUUCAAUUUAAUAACCAACUAAAAAAUUUAGUUGAAUUGGUCAAAUUCAAUUAAAAACGGGUUGGCUUGAUAAAAACAGGGAAAUUCAACUGAAUUUCACUAAUUUUUUUUUUAUAAAAAGAUACUUCAGUUUAUUCCCUUUUUUAAUACUAAUUAAAAAAAAGAUUAAAACCUUUGCAUCGGUUGAACCGCAAUCCGAAAACUCUUCCAUUUCACUCUCCUGUCUGGGUUUUAAAACAUUGAAUUCAGUCUAUGGAUUCAGAUAUUCCAUCACAAACUAGUUGUCUCUUUGGCAAGUGGUUGGAAACGUCCACACGUAAGGCUUCUACCUGGGAGAAGUCAGAAGCAUACCAGUAGAUUCGAAGAAAAACACAGCAGAUCAGUUUCUAAGCUACAAACAUGGAAAAAACACAGCUUGUUUUUGUUCCAGCACCAGGCAUAGGUCACUUGGUAUCCACAGUUGAGUUCUCAAAGCGCUUAACUGAAAGAGAUGACCGGCUAUCAAUAGUUGUUCUGGUUAUAAGCUCAGUCUCUGCCAAAAAAAUGGAGUCGUACACUGAACGAGUGGCUGCUUCAAACACUGCUAUUCAAUUCAUCAACAUUCCUCAAGCAGAUCCACCUUCAGCAGAGUUCUUGAAGUCCCUCGAAAACUAUCAUGCUCUUUUCAUGGAAAACCACAAAUCCCAUGUCAAAAAAGCAAUAGUCGACCUAGUAUCAGAACCACAUACUUCUCUUGCCGGAAUUGUGGUUGAUCUAUUCUGUAGUUCAAUGAUUGAAUUAGCAAACGAGCUCGGUGUUCCUUCCUAUGUGUUCUUCACCUGUAGCGCUGCCUUUCUUGGCUUCAUGCUUUAUCUCCCAAUUCACUAUAACCAGAUUGGAAGAGAAUUCGAGACUUCGGAUUCUGAUUCGAUCAUUCCAACUUAUUCUCACCCUGUCCCUACAAAUGUCGUGCCUUCUUUUGCAUUUAACAAGUAUGGUGGUUAUGCCUCAUUCUUGAAACAUGCUACAAGGUUCAAAGAGACAAAAGGAAUCAUCGUAAACACGUUUGCAGAAUUAGAACCUCAUGCUGUGAAUCAAUUGAAAUCCGACAGUGAAACACUACCAAUUUACACAGCUGGACCCUUGCUCGACCUGGAGGGCAAAAGGCAAGACUCAGACUGCGAAAGGAUAAUGAAAUGGCUAGAUGACCAGCCUCCAUCAUCAGUGGUAUUCCUCUGUUUUGGAAGCAUGGGUAGUUUUGAGCCUGACCAGUUAGCAGAGAUGGCAAUUGCCCUCGAGCACAGUGGCUACAGGUUCUUGUGGGCUGUCAGGUCGCCCCCAUCCAAGGACGAUAUCACAAAAAGGAUGGGCGAAUAUUCCAAUUUGUCUGAAGUACUUCCAGAAGGUUUCUUGGAACGUGUCGAGAAUCGAGGAUUGGUGUGUGGUUGGGCACCGCAGAUGGAGGUGCUGGCUCAUGAAGCAGUUGGUGGAUUUGUAUCGCACUGUGGCUGGAAUUCCACCCUGGAAAGCCUGUGGUAUGGGGUGCCUGUUGCAACAUGGCCUCUUUAUGCUGAGCAACAAAUUAACGCAUUUGAAUUGGUCAGAGAAUUGGGACUAGCUCUGGAAUUGAAGUUGGAUUAUCGAACGGAAAAUGCAAAGAAUCUUGUAAUGGCUGAGGAAAUAGAGAAAGCUAUCAGAUGCUUGAUGGACUCCGAAAAUCCAAUCAGAGGGAGAGUUAAAGAAAUGAAAGAAAUGAGUAGAAAGGCCAUUCAAAAUGGGGGCUCUUCAUUCAUCUCAGUUGGACGCUUUAUUGAAGAUAUCCAUAUCAACAAAGCAAAUAAGGCGUAGAAUCAUUUCCGCCACAUGAUCAUGUUAUCAGUAGAUUAAGGGAAGUUUCUUCAGCUGCUCCUAUUUCCCAAAAUCAAUUUGCUUUGUUUAUUUUAGUGUUUCUUAAUCGAUCUUAUUGUCACAUUUGGGAUUAAAUUCAUGUUAGCACGGCCUCCUUGUGUUUGAAUAUAUAUGUUUUUUCUUCAUACUGAGGUCCUGGAGUUCGUCAUUACUUCCCUUUUUCAUAAGUUUUGUUAAAUUGCUAUUAUGUACUUCUUAGUUCAUACUUAUCUUCUUAUCUUUUGUGAUUCCAUUAUUAAAAAAUUUUCUUGGUAAUCAUCUUUUCGGUUUGACAUGGUGAGCACACUCUCAAUUUUAGUGAAAACUGAAAAUUAAGUAAUCUUGUUAUACAUCUUAAGUUUGUAAUUCUAACUUAUUUUGUGUGUAAAUACUAAAUAGUGAAUACGUGAAAAUGGAUGUAGAUCACAUUCCUCACGGUCCAUCAAUCAAGUGUAAAAAAAUUUGGUCAAAUCUUGGACAUGAAAUAUGGCCAAAUUUGCAUUCUUUCCCAAGUCAGGUCUUCAAUCCUGAUCGAAAGUUGUUCAAUCAAUUUAAUAUUGGAAUCCAGUAUCAUUUAGAUCUGGAUUUGGUGGCAAAUCAAUUGCAAUCUCCAUUAGUUAAUAAUACAAAGCCACUAAAUCUUGAAGGUCCAGGUGUUCGGUUCCAGUUUUGCUUCUGUGAAAUAAAUAAUAGAAAGCGUGGUCAAGUGGCUUUGCUCAUGCAUGACCAAACCCCUUUCAUUUUUUUUCCCCUCUUUUCUGUAUAUCACAAACAAAUCUACCUAUUAUAUAAGAAAGAAGUGAGAUUGCUGCAAUCUCUAUGGUGCUGUAGCAAUCUCUAUGGCUGCCAAGUGGCGCCCAUCUACUUUGACACAUGGCUCAUUAAUCUUUUGAGUAAGCUAUCUUUAUUUUUUUUCCCUUUUUUUUUUUGGCUUUUAUUUUCCCCUCAUUUCCUUCUUUCUUUUUGGCAAAAGACAACCACAAGAACUCUCAUCCUCAUCUACACUAUCACUUGCAUACUCAAUUUUCACUCUGUACUCUUUUCAUUUUUUUUCUCUUUUUUUCCUUCACCCUAAAUUGUUUACUCUGUUUUUUUUUCUAUUAAAUUAGUUGAUGCAUUUUUUUUUCAAUUUUUCCAUAAUUAACUAAAUGAAUGGUUUUUGUUGUUGGAGGGGAUGAGGGAAGAUAGCAAUUUUUAUUGAGUGAAGAUAACAAUUUUUCCUCAACUUAUAUUCAUUCCAAUUUUAGUUUUCAUUUAUUAAAAUUGUUAUUUGAUAAUAGGCUAAUAGUGCUAGGAUGGAUGAGGAAGAAUUUGACAAGUGAAGAUCCAAGGUGAAUGAUGGCUGCCAAAUGGCUCCUAUCUACUUUGACAUGCGGCUCAUUAAUCCUUUGAGGAAACUAUUUUUUUUUCCUUUUUCUUUUGGCUUUCUUUUUUCUCCUCAUUUCCUCUUUCCUUUCUGGCAAAGACAAUCACAAGAACCCUCAUCCUCAUCUACACUAUCAUUUGCAUGCUCAAUUUUCACUCUGUACUCUUUUCAUUUGUUUCUCUUUUUUUUUUCCUUCACCUUAAUCAUUUACUCUUUUUUUUUAUAUUGAAUUAGUUGAUGCAUUUUUUUUCAAUUUUUCUAUAAUUAACUAAAUGAAUGGGUUUUGUUGUUUGAGUGGAUGAGGGAAGAUAGCAAUUUUUGUUGAGGGAAGAUAACAAUUUUUCCUCAACUUAUUUUCAUUCCAAUUUUAGUUUUCAUUUAUUAAAAUGGUUAUUUGACAAUAGGCUGAUAGUGCUAGGAUGGAGGAGGAAGAAUUUGACAAGUGAAGAUCCAAGGUGAAUGAUGACUCGGAAGGAAAUAGAGAGGUCUAUUGAAGUUAAAAUUAAUCAAAAUCUCUUAAUUUAUAGAUAGAUAAUUAUAUUUCCAUAUUUUGAUUUAUUUAAAGUUUCUUAAUAGUGAAAAAUGGUUAUUUAUUAGAUGAGAAGGAUAAUAUGUAAAGGAAUUGUCGGGGCUAGCAAUUUAGGAUAUGAAUAAAAUAUUUCGUAUAAUCUCUUCAUUUUAGGUUACUGACUUGUAUCCAUGACAAGUGGCUUAUUUUCAUUGCAUGAUAGUUUGAGAAGAAAAAAAAGUGUAAAACUAGAUUUUAAAAUCAUUUGCUUAAGUUGGUUCUAUGAAUUUGUAUUUUUAUAUAAGCUAGAUGUGGAACUCGAUAUAUCAUGACUAUUUGGCUAAAGGAGUUGAUAAAUUUUUGUAAACUCAAGUAGUUGAAUUGAUUACUGUUGUUAAGGAAUUGCAAUUGGUGGUGGAAGUCAAAAUUGUGACUUUUAGCCUAGAGUGUGAUUCGACAAAAAAAUUGUUAAAAAAUUCAAUCUUGAUUAAGAAGACAUUUUUCAGAUCAAACAAAUGAUUUGUUUCGAAUUUGUAUAUGUACAUUUGCAAACAUGGCAGUACAUAUUUUUAUCUAAUAUUGUUAUUUGUAUCCUCAAGCUUUUUGGCAAAUAAUGUUAUCACCUGUUGUAAUGCUAUUAAAAAGGAUUUAAAUGGAUGGAUUAACAACUCAUUUUUUCUCUGAAAAAGACAAAAAAACCAAUGUAUAGGUUUGUAUGUUUUGAAAAGGAUAGAAAAAUGUGCAAGUUUGUAUCUUUUAUUGAUAUUGAAAAAUGUGACAAAUUUUGGUGACUUUCUAAACCUUUUCUAAUUAUUAAAGUGCUAGAAGUAUUAUGACUACUUUUGGUUUAGUCACAAUUAAAGUAUGCUGCUAUUAAAUUGAUAAUGUAGUGUACUUAUUAUCUCUCCUUUUUUUGGUAUUAUUAUGCACACAUAGUAUUGGUUCAAAAAUCUUUGUUUCAUAAACGAAAUUUCUCUUCAUAGCAAAUUUUAAUUGUUUUGAUGCUCAAAUUUUCUCCUAUAUUUACCAAAAAGAUAUAUUGCUUUAUGUUUAACUAAACUUCUAAGGGGCACAGAGCACGGCCAAGAUGCCUCUAGUGUAAAGAAUGACUGAGAAAGAACCACUAGGGACUAUUUUUAAAUUACUCGAAUCCGAUUAUUUUAUUUAUUUGGUAAAGUAUUAGUUGAAUUCAUUGAUUAGGACAUGUAGAACUAAAUAUUUUUGGUUUUUAAAAAGAUAAAUAUAAGAAAGAAAAUGAGUUAUGAGAGUAGUAUUGAGACAUGUGUCGUGUACAAGUGUAUAAAAUAGACAAAAAUUUACUACUAUAUUUUCAGUAACGAUUGCUACACCUGGAGGCAGUUCAAAAGGAAAUCCAUGCCUGCUGAUUGACAGGUUGUUGAAGCCUGUACAAUAAUAAAAUUAAACCUAAUUGCCAGUUAAAUGACCAAAACCCAAUUCCAAGUACUGGAGCAGGGACUCUAGGUGUACAAUGGGUUACUUGAUUUACCCUGUUCCCGAAGAGUUUGUUUGAUCCGAUAUACCCGAAUGGAAUGGUUAUUUCUUUUCACAAAUAAUUAUGAAUUUGUAGACAGAGCAAGUAGGGUCGUAUCUACAGGGAUUGGAUAUAUUUGUUUCUUAAGAAAUCCAAAGUAACACAAGGCGGUGAUUUGUAGGAGCGACGACAAUCAAAUAAAUUCAAAUAAGAAAAUAAAAAUAAAUAACUAACUAGAAAUUAAACCACAAUUCACUGAACUUAGAGUAACAAUAAUUAAAGACCUAAAUCAAUUAAAACAAGAAAACAAUUAAAAAUAAAAUAAAGUAGGCAACUUAAAGUCAAAUGGCAAUUCACUAAAAUCAAGGUAGUAUUAAUUAAGGAUCUAGCCAAGAAGUAACUUCAGCAAUGGUUCACCUAAUUGAUCAUCGAAGCAAAGGCAAUUCCAAUUAUUUACUAAUAAAUAGGUUAUAACUGCCAAACAAGCGAUGACAGUCAACCCCUCUUUACUGUAUCGGUGAUUAAGGUACGCCCAUUAAUCACUGCUCUAAUUAGGAAAUAAUCCUAGGUACGCCCGUAAGAUUUAAUUCCCUAAUUGCCUUACGUAUUAGAGGAGGCCUAUUCUAACCAAAUAACGCACUACUAGGUUAUUUCAGAUUAGCCCGCGUAUCCCCCUGACACAAAUCUAAUCGUGCCAGUUAUCACUAAUUUAAGGCAAUUAAACAAUUACGGAUUUAAUGCCUUAAUUGACAAUAGAUUAUCAAAUCAAUUAAUUAUCCGGAUCCAAGACAAUCAAUUAAUUAAACAAUCAUAAGCACUGUAGCCAGGGAAUAUGCGAAUACCAAUAAAUAAAAGAAAAGGGUAAAAUUAAAUCGAUUUCACAAUUUUAGGCAACUCAAAGCAUCCGUUGUCCCUUGACUAGAGUGAGGGAAUUAAUUCAUGUUUGAUAAACUAAACCCACAAGAAAUUGUAAAGAGAGCCGCGGCCAUUAUCACAAAAAUUGGGAAAUGCAAUUCACUCCAAUCAAGAAAAAAAUAGCAAAGUUACAAGAGGUAGCCCUCUGUUUUUCUUCAAAUGACAUACGAAGAAAGGAAUGUAAAUACUAAAGGUUCAAAGAUGAAGAAAAGUCAAAAGCCAAGAAUGGCUUAGGGGGACUUACGUGGCUUAGGGGUCCUGACAUUCGUAAGUCCUCAAAGCCAUAAAGUAAGUCCAAAAACUGCACUCAAAGACGAAAAACUAAGAAGAAAAGCUAGUACUAGUUUUCUGCCCUCAAUUCUUCCUCUUUAUCUGCGGCGGCUCCUUUUCCUCUCUUUUUUGAGGAAGACUUCGGCCAAAUGACAAUAAAGGGCUUGCGUCUCUUUUGUUCUAAAAAUGCCCCUGCAAGCCUUCUAUUUGAAUUCUUUCCUGAUGAUUAUCAAAUUGGCCUUGAUUGUGAUGUUUUUGUUCUACUCCCUGAAAUAAAUGCAAAUUACAAAAAGUGAAUAGAAUCCAGCAAUUAAUCCACAUUAAGUCGGUUAAUAGGGGAAAUUAAUAAUAAAAUAAAUAGUAAAAUUACAACUUAUCAAUUCCCCCCACACCUAAACCAUGCUUGCCCUCAAGCAUGAUAACAACAAACAAACACCAAUAUCUGACAAUGGCUAUUGCUCCAUCUAUCAUAUUGCCAAGAUACCAAGAAAAACAUAGAUCAAGCCUCAGUGAUCAAGAUCCAAGAAAUAUCACUUCGGUUAGCUUCUAAACUGCAAACUCUUCCAAUUUUAAGUUAACUAAUCUAAGAAAAAGGAAUGACGCACAACAUUUAUCAGCAAAUGGUCCAACUAUUAACCAAAAUCUCAACAUUAAAUUCAUAAAUCGACAAGCUGACUUUUAUUAUACACUAACACAACCUUCAUUUUUUUCACAUUUUUCUACUUUUCUCUUUUUUCUUUCCUUUUUCUCUCCUUUUUUUUUUUUUGCUUUUUUCAAUAGUACAAAAGACUUAGUCGCUAGCCAUUGGAGUCUUUUGACGCGAACUCUGACAUUUGUUAGAUGAAAGAGCCCGGUUACUCAACUUCUAUCGCUACGUGACCACGCACUCAUAGCAAUUACUACUUUUUGAUGCAAGAAUCGACACUUUUAGGUGCAGAUCUCCGGUUACUCAGUAGUAAAUACUAGCGGAGUACAGUCAACUCUUAUUCACAGCCUAAUAACACCAAAAAUUCAAAAUAAAACAAAAAUCAAAAGAAAAUUUGCAGCCGUUAGCCUCAAUUUUAAAUAUGGAGAACUAAGGUUAAUAACCGGACCAAUUCACAUGAAAAUGCCAACAGUCAUUCCCAAUGCCUAGAAGAGUUAACCAAAAAAUAGAAGAGCCAUACAAUCACCGAUAUUCACCAAAGAGAUAUUUUUGGACUCAACCACACUAACUUGAUACAUUCUUAUUAUUAAAACUUGACAAAAGUAGAAAUAGAGGCAACAAUCCAACAUCAAACCUUGGCAUGCACAGGAGAGCUAGACAGAUGAAUGACAAAAAGUAAGCGAAAACUAGACAAAUGACAAAUUAAAAAUAAAAGAAAAAUAUCUGAAAACUAAGAACUAUAAAAACUAACACCAUAACUGCUCCCCCCCACACCUAAAUCCUACAUUGUUCUCAAUGGAAGUAAUAAAGUAAUUAAAGUGAAGAGAACAAUGAAACUUCCCUCUCAAGUGGCGAAGGGGUAGGCGGGAACAGUGGAGGAAAACUGAUGUGGCGAAAGGAUGCACCCAAGUGCUGAGACAUCUUAACUCAAUUCAACCAGCAAAUGCAAAACUCUGUCCACCCAAAAUCUCAACAAAUGGCUCCAGUUGGCCAGUUACCGUUUGAACUCAAAAUCAGCAAUAGCAGUGCAGAAAUUAGACAGUAACAAAUCAAUAAAAAAAACACUGAGCUUUCAAUCAAACAGUCACCCAAAUAGCAACCUAAGUCAGUAGCCAAUUUGUCGCCAACUAAUCAAUUAAAUUCUACCAACGUCCACGAGUAGAUUCAAGUGCCACCGUGCUACCAAAAAUGUCAACAAAUGAAACCAAUAGGCAAAGCAUUCUCCAACUUGUUAACAUAAAUCCAGUCAACACCCAAGGCAGCAAAACAAACCCCAAAGCAAUGCAAUUAGCAACUCCAGCAAUUCAAUAUAAAGCAGUGGCAAAACAAAUCACAACGAGGCCCAAAACAUGAUUGGAACAAUACUACUGCAAAAGUUUGCUAGGGAAUUGAGACAAAUAAAUACCGUCACAUCGUCUUUGAGCGACAAUUCCAAGCAAUAUUUGGGCAACGGAAACCGUGGGUAGCGAUGGGAGGCAAGCGUCGGCGAGGUGAAGUGGUAGUCGCUGGUGGAAGGUGACGGGCGGAGAGAGAGGAGUUGGAGGGCCGCGGCUGCGUGGCUGUGCGACGCUGUGGUGGGUUGCCCUGUAGUGGCAGCGGCGGCGCGCAAGCAGGUCGUCUGCUUGGGCUUGCGAUGCGACCGGUGGAACGACGGCAGCUCGCGGGCGGAGAUGAGCUGGUGAACGACUGUGGUGGCGGCACGAGGAAGGCUGAAGACUUGGGGUAUGGCGGCGGGCGGCGAGGCUUCGAUUGAGCAGGAGGAAGAAACAAAAGAGAAGAAAGAAAGAAAGAAGAAAGAAGAAAGAAAUAAAGAAAGAAAAGAAGAAGAAAGAAAGAAAAGGAAAGAAAAGAAAGAAUAGGGAAAAAAGAAAAAGAAAGAAAAUAGUAUUUGUGUUUUUUUUUUUUUGCUUUUUUGUUUUUUUUUUUCAUUUUAGAAAUUUUUUUUUGUUUUCACGGAAAGACUCCCUUUUUUUUUCUCCUUGUUACUUACUUGAAAAUUUUUUUUUACAUAUAUCAUCUUUUUUUUUAUUAUUAACAAAAUUUAUUUUUGGAAUUCAAAAGUAGAGAUUAACAGGAAAUCAAUAAUCGUUUUUGAGUUUUUUUUUUUGAAUACUUACCUUUCCUGCGAAUGUGACGUGGGCACGUGACGAAGGCAUGGAGUGAAGAGCUCUCCAAGUUACUUGACGCGGACACGUCAUGAGAGCAAGAGAGCUCUCUGACCAUGAGCUCUUCAGGGGACUUGACGCGGGCGCGUCAUGAGGAUCGAAACUCUUUCUAACGAUUCUAAUCGUGAGCUCUCUAUACGUCACGACGUGGGCGCGUCAUGAGGGCAGGAACCCCUUCUGACGAUUCUGACCGUGAGCUCUCCAUGUCUCAUCACGCGGGCGGGUCAUGAUAGAAGAACACCUACAAAUCAGCAAAAACGAAAAUUGAAACCCAAAAUCAGUCAAAUUCAAGGAAAACAUAUUUAAACUAUCACACGAAAUCAAACAAACAAUUAAAAGAAAUAAUUGGUUUGCCUCCCAAUGAGCGCCUUUCUUUAAUGUCUUUUGCUAAACAUUGAACACCACUCUUCAAUCUGGGUGUAACUCAAUUUUCCUGAAAAUCAGUGGCCCUCCUCCAGGAUCCAAAUAGCCUUUGAGUGCAGUCUUCUUUCUUAAUUUUCUACUCCUUUUCACCUCAUACAGUGCUUUCAUUCCCUUAUACUUGUUCUCAGUAAAUUUGAAUUUAUUCCUACAAGCAAACUCAGAAAAUUCUUUCACAGAGGGAUUAAUAGCAUGAAUAGCAAACACAUGGUGAGAGUUAACAGGAUGUUCCAUUGUAUCGAAAAUAUUAAAGUGGACUAAUUCUCCAUCAAAUUCCAUGGACAAUGUACCCUUAUUAACAUCAAUUUUUGUCUGUGCUGUACUCAAAAAGGGUCUACCUAGUAGCAAAGGUGAAGGGUUAGGGGAAUGAUCAUCAUCCAUGUCAAGUACAUAAAAGUCAGCCGGGAAUAUCAAUUAUUAACUUUAACCAGCACAUCCUCUAACAACCCAUCAGGGUAUGCAUUUGUUCGGUUAACUAAUUGAAUUAUUAUUUCGGUUUCUUUUAAUGGACCGAGGUUCAGAGAAGCAUACAUAGAUUUAGGCAUUACGUUGAUCGAUGCUACUAAGUCCAGCAGGGUAUUGCUAAUCAGAGUAUUACCUAUCUUACGUGGGACAGUAAAUCUAUCUGGAUCCCCACACUUUGGUGGGAGCUUUCUUUGGAGAAUUGUUGACACAUUCUCCCCAAGAAUAACUCUUUCAUCUCCCCUCAACCUCCUUCGAUUGACACAUAGGUCCCUCAAAAAUUUUGCAUACUUCGGCACUUGCUUGAUGGCGUCUAGUAAGGGAAUAUUGAUCUCUACCUUGCGAAACACCUCCAGGAUCUUUUUCUCAUUGUCCUGUUUCUUCGACUUUUCCAACCUACAAAGAAAUGGAGGGGGAUUAGUUUUAAUGUCUAUGAUCGGGUCAGGGAGUACCAUUGGAUUUUUGGUGCUUGUAUUCUCUGCCUGAAGUUCUUUCUCAAUCUUUUCUUCGUCAUUAUCCUUUGGAGUCACAAGUUCGGACCCCUGAAUUUCCUUCCCGCUCCUUAAAGUCAUUGCACUUACGUUCUUCAGGUUCAGUUCAGGUUGGGAUGGCAAUCUUCCAUUUACUUGGGACUCCAAACGGUUGAUUUUUGUGGCCAUUUGACUCAUCUGAUUUCUUAUGUCCUGUAUUUCGGAGUCCGUCCUUUGCUGAUUUUGCGUGAUGGUUGCCAUAAGUUGUUUCAUCAUCUCCUCCAAAGAUGGACCAGAGCUUGGGGGCGGAGGUGGUCGGGGUUGAUAUUGUUGCUGGUACCCUGGUUGCUUAUUUGGCACGAAAUUAGACUGCAUGUUCGGUGCAAAGUUGGGCUGUCUAUUUCUUCCAUAAUUGAAAUUCGGGUGGUCCUUCCAGCCGGGAUUGUACGUAUUCGAGUACGGGUCAUAGGGCCAUUUUGGCGCAGGCGCGUGACCAACCAUGUUCACUUGCUCUGCACUUUCUUCCUGAAUCGCUGGGCACAUCUCUGUAGAAUGACUCAUACCAGUGCAAAUUCCGCAUACCUUGGCCUGAGAUGCGUUUCCUACAGCCAGUUGUCUAACAAACGAGGUCGACUCAGUUAGCUGCUACUGGAUAGAGGAUGUCUCUACCUCAUUCACCUUGCGUGUUGGGACAUCCUCCCUCGUACCGAAUUGUUGUGAAUUCUCUGCCAUCCCCUCAAUUAACUCCUGUGCUUCCCGAGGGCUUUUGUUCACCAGUGCCCCUCCACUUGCAGCAUUAAUUAUGCUCCUAUCUCUGAAAAGGAGCCCCUCAUAAAAAUACUGUAUGAGUAACUGCUCACUUAUCUGGUGUUGGGGGCAUUUGCUGCACGACUUCUUGAAUUGCUCCCAAUAUUCAUAGAGUGACUCCCCUGGAUGCUGUUUGAUCCCGCAAAUUUCUUUCCUUAGACUUGCAGUCCUGGACGCAGGAAAAUAUUUAUCCAAAAAUUUUUUCUUUAAUUGGUCCCAUGUGGUGAUGCUACCUGGUGGCAAGUAGUACAAGCAGUCCUUUGCAGAUCCUUCAAGGAAAAGGGGAAUGCCCUCAUUUUUAUUUGUUUUUCUGUAAUGCCCGGAGGUUCAUACUAUUGCACACGACAUCAAACUCAUGCAGAUGCUUAUACGGCUCUUCACCUGGUAAACUAUGAAAAGAGGGUAAAAGAUGAAUCAGACCAGAUUUUAGUUCAAAUGGAGUGUUAUCAUUUAAGGUGGGGAAGGUAAUGCAUAGAGGCUGCUGAUUUAAAAUAGGGGCAGCCAACUCCCUUAAUGUUCGUGCAUUAGCCAUGGUUCCUUCCUUUUGGUCAGAGUCACUUGAAGUGUCACUAAACGAAUCUGUUGGUUCAACUCCUGGCUCAGGUCUCUGAGAUGCAACACUGGACUGCUCCUCUCUGAGCUGUCUGAUUUUCUUUCUCGUUCUACGUGCGAUCUUCUCUACUUCAGGGUCAAAAAUCAAAUCACCUGUACGAGAAAAUCGAGACAUACACUAGAAAAAAAAUACCAGAAAAUUAGAAUAAAAAUUAAUUUAAAAAGAAACAAAUAAUAAUGCUAGUCCCCGGCAACGGCGCCAAAAAUUGACAGGUUAUCGAAACCUGUACAAUAAUAAAAUUAAACCUAAUUUCCAGUUAAAUGACCAAAACCCAAUUCCAAGUACUGGAGCAGGGACUCUAGGUGUGCAAUGGGUUAUUUGAUUCACCCGAUUCCCGAAGAGUUUGCUUGAUCCGAUAUACCCGAAUGGAAUGGUUAUUUCCUUUCAUAAAUAAUUAUGAAUUUGUAGACAGGACAAGUAGGAUCGUAUCCACAGGGACUGGGUAUAUUUGUUUCUUAAAAAAUCCAAAGUAACACAGGGCGGUGAUUUAUAGGAACGACGACAAUCAAAUAAAUUCAAAUAAGAAAAUAAAAAUAAAUAACUAACUAGAAAUUAAACCACAAUUCACUGAACUUAGAGUAACAAUAAUUAAAGGCCUAAAUCAAUUAAAACAAGAAAACAAUUAAAAAUAAAAUAAAGUAGGCAACUAAAAGUCAAAUGGCAAUUCACUAAAAUCAAGGUAGUUUUAAUUAAGGAUCUAGCCAAGAAGUAACUUUAGCAAUGGUUCACCUAAUUGAUCAUCGAAGCAAAGGCAAUUCCAAUUAUUUACUAAUAAAUAUGUUAUAAUUGCCAAACAAGUGAUGGCAGUCAACCCCUCCUUACUGUGUCGGUGAUUAAGGUACGCCCGUUAAUCACUGCUCUAAUUAGGAAAUAAUUCUAGGUACGUCCGUAAGAUUUAAUUCCCUAAUUGCCUUACGUAUUAGAGGAGGCCUAUUCUAACCAAAUAACGCACUACCAGGGUUAUUUCAGAUUAGCCCGCGUAUCCCCCUGACACAAAUCUAAUCGUGCCAGUUAUCACUAAUUUAAGGCAAUUAAACAAUUACGUAUUUAAUGCCUUAAUUGACAAUAGAUUAUCAAAUCAAUUAAUUAUCUGGAUCCAAGACAAUCAAUUAAUUAAACAAUCAUAAGCACUGUAACCAGGGAAUAUGCGAAUACCAAUAAAUAAAAGAAAAGGGUAAAAUUAAAUCGAUUUCACAAUUUUAGGCAACUCAAAGCAUCCGUUAUCCCUUGACUAGAGUGAGGGAAUUAAUUCAUUUUUGAUAAACUAAACCCACAAGAAAUUGUAAAGAGAGCCGCAACCAUUAUCACAAAAAUUGGGAAAUGCAAUUCACUCCAAUCAAGAAAAAAAUAGCAAAGUUACAAGAGGUAGCCCUAUGUUUUUCUUUGAAUGACAUACGAAGAAAGGAAUGUAAAUACUAAAGGUUCAAAGAUGAAGAAAAGUCAAAAGCCAAGAAUGGCUUAGGGAUCCUGACAUUCGUAAGUCCCCAAAGCCAUAAAGUAAGUCCAAAAACUGCACUCAAAGACGAAAAACUAAGAAGAAAAGCUAGUACUAGUUUUCUGCCCUCAAUUCUUCCUCUUUAUCUGCGGCGGCUCCUUUUCCUCUCUUUUUUGAGGAAGACUUCGGCCAAAUGACAAUAAAGGGCUUGCGUCUCUUUUGUUCUAAAAAUGCCCCUGCAAGCCUUCUAUUUGAAUUCUUUCCUGAUGAUUAUCAAAUUGGCCUUGAUUGUGAUGUUUUUGUUCUACUCCCUGAAAUAAAUGCAAAUUACAAAAAGUGAAUAGAAUCCAGCAAUUAAUCCACAUUAAGUCGGUUAAUAGGGGAAAUUAAUAAUAAAAUAAAUAGUAAAAUUGCAACCUAUCACUGAUAGACUUGUUGAUUCAAUAAUUGAUACAAUCAAGAACUAUUAUGUGGUUGAAAGAAUGUGAAGAAAACGAAGGAAAAUUAGGAUUUUUGUGUAAAUUAGAGCUUUGUUGACAGUUUUUUUAGCUCAUAGUUGAUUCUGUAGUGUUGUAAUUGUAGUUUUCGUAUUGAUUUGUGAUAGACUAAAAAAAAAAAAAAGUGACAACGGGAUCAUAUAGAAUAACAACGUGAAAUAAUUAGUUGUAAAGAUGUUAAGAAAAAAUUCGUCGACUGAUUUGGCCAAGGAUUAAUCCUAAGACCUAGUUUUGGAUAACAAGAUAUUAGGAUUCAAAUAAUACAAAUAAAAAGUUCGAGGGAGGAUAGGGUUGGGUAAACUUUCUAAAAUUCUUAGUUCUCCUAUUAAAUUAUUUUUCAUGCAGAAUAGCCUACUAAAUUCAAGGGAGGAUAGGGUUGGGUGAUAAGGAGGGAGGGAUCGUAAGUUAAAAGUUCUAAAUUCAAGACUUCUCACUUAAUCCAAAAAAAAAAAAAAACUACUAAGUUCGUAAAAAUAGUUCAUCUUGGCCAUUUGAUUUAUUCUCGCAGUUAAGAUAGACAGAAGUUAGUCCACAUGAGAUGCAUGCCUAUUCUGAAUGAACAAUUUUAGAUAUUUUCCAUAAAAUUUUCAACCUUAUUAGGCAUCAGCUUCCGGUUUGAUGACCUAUUUCUUUUCUCAAUAUUUUUCCUUUAGAACCCUCAUUCUCCAUUUUUUUUCCAUUUUUCCUAUUUUCCGCCUAUGCCAUUCAUUUUUGCCUUGAUCCAAGAUCUAUGUUACAAGUUGUUUGGCCGCUUCGUAAUUUACUUCUUCUUGGGCCCUAUUUUUAAUUGUUCUCUUUUGUGGACCGCAAACAUCAGUUUUUGUUUCUAAGCUUCUUUCAAUUGAAAGAUGAAAGAUGCUCCUUUUGUUGGAAGCUUCACUGUUUGACUCUGACUUACUUUUAUAUUUGCAAUGCUAUAUAUCAUGCUAUGUAUCAUGCGUACCUUUUUCACUGUAUUUUAAACCACAAAAUGUAUUAGAAAAAACAAAUUGUUAUUUAAUAAUGGUCUAUAUUUCUCUGUAUCAAAGUUAUGAUGAGACAACAAAAGAUGUGAAUAAAUUAAAUCUAGCGAAAGUCAACCACUUUAAGACAAUUUUGAUGAGUAAUUAACACCAUGAAAAUUUUUGUGGACAUAUAUGAGGAAGUCAAAAAAAUUUUUUGGAAAAUAUGUUUUAAUCCAUGAUGUACUUUAAGUUGUACUGAUAACUAAAAUAAUCUCUUCAUAUGUGUGGUUUGUAAUAUAAAUCUUACUUAUAGAAAAAAAAUUUAUAAAUGAGUCAAAAUUUAAAAAAUAAUCAAAAAAUAAUCCAAUGACCAAAUAUAUAUUUAGGAAUAUCCUUUUUUUUUAAACAUCAUGCUUUAUGGUAGAUAAUAGUUGAUGUAUAUCUAUAAAAUUACUCAUUAUUGUAUUUAUAAAAGCUCAUAUUUUCAUCUUUUUACUUUUUAACCUUAUUUAUUUUUUAUUGUUGUUGUAAGCUUCAAAAGUAGGAUAACAUAAGGGUAGUAUUGGAAGAAAUACUUUAUCUUUCUUGCAUUUCCUCCAAGGGAACUAAAAUAUUAUAAGAAAUGUCAAUUCAAGAGCAGUAGAUGAGAUUUUAAAAACCAAAAGGGUGCUGAGUGAUAUUGUGCAAAAUAUUAGGAGAGGUUUCUGAAAUUGUCCCUUAUAAAUUUUAAUGGGGGGUGAAAGUUACCCCGCCCCACCCUACGCCAUGAACCGCACGCAGGCACCUGCUCCAAUUGUCAUCCCUAAUUUCAUCCACUUAAUCUCAAAACAAACUCAUCCAUACCAUUAAUUGCACCCAUCAAAUUCGUGAUUUUAGGCACCUCAAUCCUGUUUAUUCCGAACAAAAAUUUGUUGCAAUAAGGUGACACUUCCACAGCAGGCAAACAAAAGUAACCCCUCCUAGCCAGAACACAGAUUCUAAUCUAAGAAGCCAUAUGCAAUAUUCAUUCCAUCCUAAUGAGAUCGAAUUUUUUUGUGUUUGUUCAGUCUAGCUAUCUGCGGUGUUCUGGUUAAGAAAUGGCACUCAAUUUUUAUUGGAGAUUAAAUAUUUAAGGUUAAUUAAAAAUUUUCUUCUAAUUUAUGUUCAGUUGCACUUUGCCUCCUUGAACUAAAAGAAUGGAGGUUUACUCCCUUUGAAAGGCUCUCUCACCAUAAAUAAAAAUAAAUUAAUGAUGCCAACUUGUUUUAGGCAAAUAUGCCAUUCAUUGAGUUUUUGUAAAAAUAUAAUAUUUUCUUAUUUAUGUACAAUUAGUUUAGAUAAUCUUUUUAUUGGUAAUCCCCAUGCAAGGGGAAGAAAUGCCACCCUAGAUAUUUUAUUGAUUAAUUUUAAAUUUUUGAUGGAGGCAGAUAUGCCCAAUCUCCUAUAAGUGGAAAGCAAGUAAAAAAGAAGUACUACCCUUUACAUAUUUGAAAUGAAAUUAAUCAAAAAACCUAAGCUAAGAUGUUACAAUAGAGCAUCUAAAAGAUGGGAACCCAAGUCUAUCGUUUACAUGAUCUUUUUAGAGUUAUUUGCCUAAAUAACUCCCUGCACAAAAAAAAAUUCCUAAAAUGAUUCAAUUUCAUACUUUAUUCCAGUAACAACUAAGGAUGGCAACGGGAAAGGGUUGGGGUGGGCGGGGGACUCCCGCUUCCCCCGCCCCGUCCUGCUUCCCCCGCGAGGGCACCCGCGGGGUUAAUAAAAAUUUAUUAUAGUUAAAUUUUAAUAAAUAAUCAAGUACUAAAAUAUCAAUACAUCACCAAGUUAUUAUUCAUUGUAAUUUCGCAAUUGAAACUCAUAAAAACAAUCAAACAAAAGUUAUUUGAAUACAAUCUAACAUAAUGAAAUAAAUAUAACUAAAGUAGUUAAGUUUUCACUUUUGGUACAAAUACAAUCACAAUUCAUUAUUGUGUUUUUACUUUUUUUUUUGAGAAAAAAGUGUUACUGUAUUAAGUGUAAUUAGGACAUAUCUUUGAGUAUUCUUCAUAUAACAAAAAAAUCUUUUCUCUCUCGGGUUUCCUGAUUUAGAAAUUUAGGGUUCUCUGGUUCCUCGUGCAUGGCAGCCGCGGCUGCCCCCUCAUCUCAGGGUGGGGGUCUGUCUUCUUCCCCUACGUUCAAGAAGAAGGCGUUUUCUGCUUUGUUCCAAGAUCAGUCGCCGUCGGAGGUGGUGAAGGUCUAGGCGGCUGUCUCCACCCAUCGUGGAGAGCCUGCGGUGGUCUUCAAUGCGGCAGAUAUUGCUGCUGUGGCGUCGCCGUUCCGUUUCACGUUGGUUGGGAAGUUUUCCAAGGGCCGUCCCCUUUUGCCUGAAUUGCGUAAGUUUUUUUCUAUGUUUGAUCUGAAGGACUCAGUGUCUGUUGGUUUAUUAGACGCUAGACAUGUUUUGCUGCGAUUUAAUGGAGAGGCAGAUUUUCUUUGUGUAUGGGCAAGAAAUGUGUGGUAUGUUCAUGGGUGUCCUAUGCGGGUUUUCAAGUGGAGUUCGAAGUUUCAUGUCGAUAGGGAAUCGUCCCUAGUUCCCAUUUGGUUCAAAUUACCCAAGCUUCCUAUCCAUUUGUUUGCCAAGCCUUGUUUGUUUCACAUUGUCUCCUGCCUGGGGAACCCGUUGUUUGUUGAUGCGGCAACAUCGUCUUUUAUUCGUUCGAAUGUGGCGCGGGUGUGUGUGGAGGUGGAUCUACUGAAGUCGCUUCCCUCUAGAGUUUGGGUAGACAUGGGGGAUGGAGAUGGAUUCUGGCAACCAUUGAUCCCUGAGAGCCUUCCAAAGUAUUGCGGUUUUUGCUAUCGUCAUGGGCAUGAGGAGGGCCACUGCCAUGUGAAGUUCCCAGAGAUGCGAGUGUCGAAGGGGCCGACUCAGAAGGUCCUUGGUAGUGCUGUAGAAUUGGAUGAUGGGGGUAAGUUGAUUGCAUCUUCAAAGCCUCCGGUGGGUGCAGGGGAGUCGCUAGAUGCGGCUGAUGGCAGUGGGGCUGCUGUUUUGCCUGGGGUGGAGGAGCCCCCUGUGGCUUUGGAGGGAGCAGUUUCAGGGAUGGGCUCUGAUGCUCCGUUAUUACCUGCGACUGAAGGUGCGGAGCUGGUCACUUUGGCUCAGUCCCAACAACCUGGGCUUGCAGGUGCGGUUGCGCCGCGGGCAUUAGAACGAACAUUAUCAGGCAAGUUGUGCUCGGAUGCCCUGCUGUUGCCUGCGACUGAAGGUGCGAAUGCAGAGCAGAUCUUUUCUGCACAGCUCCAACAGUUCGGGCUUGAACGUACGGUUGUGACGAGGGGUGAGUUAGAAUCGGGUUUGGGAUCAGCUGCUGCACCAGUUUUGACAAUAGAUUUGGGUGUCCUGCCUGCUAAUCCACCGCCGUCCCAGUUUCGGGUGGCGGAGCUGGUGGAGGAGGCAAUUGCUUCCGCUGCUGACAACCUCAUUCACAGGUUGGCUGAUCAAGUAAUCGACAACUCCGAUGAGUCGUCCAUAGGGGCUGACCUGGAAUUGGGGGAGCUUGGGGGAGGUGGUCUUGAGCUAGCGGGUUCAGUGGAGCAGGUCAGGGUGGAGGUGAGGGAGCAGCAGGGGGCUAUGGUCGCUAACCUUAAUCUUUCUCCUCGCAAGGCGGAUGUUAGGGAUGCGGUGCAGACGCGGUUGGAUGCUUUGAAAAACCCGGAGGAGUGGCAUACGGUGGUGAGCCGUCGCAAUAGGAGAAAAUGUGAUUCACCCCCCUUACUUUCUACGACCACGAUCAUGAUUAAGGCUAUGUUUUGGAACGUCAGAGGAGUGGAUAAUGCUCUCACCAUUGCACGUUUAAGGAAGUUGAAGCGGAUGCAUCAGGUUUCUUUGCUAGCGAUGUGCGAACCAAAGGCGGGUCGCGAGCGGCUUGAUUUUAUUCGGAAUAGGCUGGGUUUUCGUCAUGCUAUCUCCAACGAUGAGAGUCGGAUUUGGGUGACGUAUGGGCAAGACUAUAGGUGUGAUUUGUUGGUUGCCUCACAGCAGUUCUUGGCGUUGGAGGUUACACAUGCUGUUUUCCGUUGCUCUGUUGUAGCGGUCUUUGUCCAUGCGUCGUGUGCCUCUCUUGAUAGGGAGGUGAUGUGGCAACAGUUAGGAGAGGUGUGCCCUCAAGGGAUGCCGGCAAUUUUUUUAGGGGAUUUUAACGUCAUUGUCGGGGCGAAUGAAAAGAAAGAGGGUCGCCCAUUUCGUGCUAGGGAGUCGGAGCCUUUCCUGAGUUUCAUGGAGGGUGCUGAGUUAACAGACUUAGGGUUCUUUGGGUCUCAGUUCACCUGGUGCAAUAAUCGUUGGGGCAGAGCCAGGGUUUGGAAACGCCUGGACAGGGUACUCGUUAACCAGGAUUGGUCGAGUUUAGGGGUGAACACGACGGUGGCUCAUUUGAAUAGGGUUGCCUCUGAUCAUUCCCCCUUGUUAUUGUCUUGUUCUUUGGCCAUGGGUGGGGCGCCUAAGAGUUUUCGUUUCUUGGACGUUUGGAGGGCACAUGCUGAUUUUCAUAAUAUAGUUCGUCAAGCGUGGGAGGUGGAGUGUGAUGGGCGGCCCAUUCGGGUUCUACUUGCGAAGUUAAAGGCGGUCAAGCAGGCUUUGCGUACAUGGAAUAAGGAGACAUUUGGCAACAUUUUUGACCGUGUUAAGGAAGAUGAGGCAACAGUGUUGGCACUGGAACGCUCUUUGGAGGAAUGUCCCUCGGGGGAGGGUGAAUUCCAGCUCCUCCGGGCGCAAGGGGCGCCCAAGAUGUCCCUGUUACGGGAGGCCGUUUACUGGCAUCAGAAGGCACGGCUUCGGUGGCUUAGGGAAGGCGAUGCCAAUUCCAAAUUCUUCCAUGCGCAAGUAAAGCAGCGGAGGGCUCGGUCUUUCAUCCAUCGGAUGAAGGAUACGAAUGGGGUAUGGACGGAAGAGCCCUCCAGGAUUGAAGAGUUGGCGACCACUUUCUUUGCGGACAUUUUGUCGCAACCAGGACAUGGGCCGAUGGAUCUUUCGAUGCUAGAGGUUAUACCUUCGGUUAUCACUGUGCAAGAUAACAUGGAGCUUCAGCAGUUUCCGACGGAGGAGGAAGUCAAGGCUGUGGUUUUUCAACUAGAUGGUGGUAGUAGUCCGAGUCCGGAUGGUUUCACAGGAUCAUUCUUCACUUCAUGUUGGGAUAUUGUGAAGGAGGAGGUCUAUCGGGUUGUUUGUGAUUUUUUUGCAGGUGCAGAGCUGUCUUGGGGGUACACUGCUACGUGGUUGGCCCUGAUCCCUAAGACUCCUGGGCCGUCAUCCUUCUCAGACUUUUGCCCUAUCAGCUUGUGUAACUUUGUUAAUAAAAUUACAUCUGGUCUGUUGGCGCGACGUUUGGAGCGUGUUUUGCCAUGACUUAUCUCGCAACAGCAGAGUGGCUUUGUGAAGAGUCGCCAGAUAUCGGAUAACAUACUUUUGGCCUUAGAGAUGUGUUCAGCCUUGGGGAAGAAGGUACGGGGAUCCAAUGUUGUCCUUAAAUUGGACAUGGCCAAGGCAUAUGAUCGGGUAUCGUGGAAUUUCUUGAUCCAGGUCAUGCGUAGGUUUGGGUUUGGGGAGCAAUGGCUGGAUAUGGUUUGGAGGUUAAUUUCUUCGUGCCACUUCUCAGUAUUGGUUAACGGAAAGUCGUGUGGUUUUUUCCAUUCGUCUCGGGGUCUACGGCAAGGGGACCCAUUAUCCCCGGCUUUAUUUAUUAUAGCGGCUGAGGUGUUGUCUAGAAGCUUGAAUGAGUUACCGGGGGAGUCGAGGUUUGCUCCAUUCUUCGUGACGCGGGAAUGCCCUUCUCUCACGCAUCUUAACGGUGGUAAGCGGUCCCUUGGGUGUGUCAUGCGGGUGCUGGAGGGCUAUCAGGGGGUGUCUGGGCAGUUGGUGAAUGUUGCAAAGAGCUGUUUUCUGGUAGAUAGGAGGGUCUCGUUGGUCCGUCGGAGGUUAAUUGAGCAGGUCACUAGGUUCCCUGCUAAGACUUUGCUAGUAACCUAUUUGGGUUGCCCAUUGUUUGGGGGGAGAAGAGUGAGGUCUUUAUUCGCUGAGUUACUCUCCAAAGUAUCUCACCGAAUUUCGUCUUGGCAGGGCCGAUGGUUAUCAAUGAGUGCGCGGGCAUUGCUUAUUAAGCAUGUAUUUUCGUCCAUGCCGAUUCAUAUGCUGGCAGUUUUGGAACCUCCAAGGGGGAUCAUCUCUGACCUCGAGCGGAUGCUUGCUAGAUUCUUUUGGGGCGAAUCGGAAUUUGGUGCCAAACGUCAUUGGGCGAUGUGGGAGAAGCUUUGCUUCCCGGAGGAGGAAAGGGGGGUUGGGUUUCGGUCCCUCCAGGCGGUCGUUGCGACGUUCUCCUGUAAAUUAUGGUGGAUGUUUCGGUGUGGUCAAUCUCUUUGGGCGAAAUUUAUGAGAGCACGAUAUUUUGGGUCUCGACACCCGAAUCAAGCUCCGUUUCCUGCUCAGCUGUCUGCUAGUUGCAAGCGUAUGCUUGGGGUCCGGUCGACGAUGGAGCAAUGGUUAAAGUUGGAUCUUUCUAGGGGAGAGGUGGCUUUUUGAUGGGACAACUGGAGUGGUUUGGGCCCUUUGGCAUGGCGGUAUCCUGAUUUGGCGUCAAAUGCAAUGGUCUCGGAUUUUCUACGGGAGGGUCAAUGGGACUACUUGGCUUUAGCGGGGUUCCCCUCGGAGAUUAUAGAGAUGGUUCAAGGGUCCUUCUUUUGUUUUGGAUCGGACCCGAUGCUUUGGUCUGGAGCUUGGAUCCCUCAGGGGUUUUUCGUUGAGGUCUGCUUAUCAGCUUGUUCGCCCGGCUCGGGCGCGCUCCUGGGUGUGUUCCUAUAUUUGGCAGUCGUCCGUUCCGCGGAAAUUUUCCUUCUUCAUGUGGCGUUUACUAAAUGGCCAUCUGCCAGUGGAUGAUGUGCUGCGGAAAUUCCAGAUUCAUGGUCCUUCUAAGUGUCAUUGUUGCUCGCCGGCCCAAGGUGAAACGUUGCAGCAUGUGUUCUCUACUGGUCAAUUGGCGGGUGUGACGACUUGGAUGUUCUUUGAGCGCUCCUUAGGAGUGUCUGUACGAGGUGUGGCCGUUAGGUCUCGAUGUUCUGAUUGGUGGAUGUCCCCUGUUAAAGGGAAGGCGCUCUGCUGGGUGUCCCGGAUUCUUCCGGUCCUAAUUCUAUGGUUCUUAUGGUGUGCCAGGAAUGCAUCCACGUUUGAGGGGUGCAAGGUUUCUGGGUUUCAGGUUCGGGUUUCUAUCUGUUCCGAAUUGUAAAGGUUAGCUCAAAUCCACUUUCCAGGGAUCGCGCGUUUGCCUUGCCAGUGGGAGGGGUUCCUAGAGGUUUUAUCUUCGGCCAGAAGGGUGUUAGUAGCUAAGGCGGUGAGGUGGACUUUCCCUGUGGAGGGUUCUUUUAAGCUUAACACUGACGGUUGUUCUAUGGUCGGUGGUAGUGGGGGCGGUGGGGUGAUUAGGGAUUCGAGGGGAAAACUCAUUAUUGCUUUUGCGGAUUCUUUUGGCUCUCUGGAUUCCCUGCAAGCUGAGGCUCGGGCUCUCUUGUUAGGGCUUCAGCUGGGGUACAGCUUAGGGAUUUCGCAGAUGUUUGUUGAAUCUGAUUGCUUGGUCUUAGUCAAUUGUCUAAAGGGGGUUUGGGGGGUUCCUGCGGUGAUUUGGCCAGUUGUUCGUGCUGUUCGUCUGGUUACUUCUGCUGGCCAUCAGUUUGGUCAUUGCUACUGGGAGGGGAACAUGGUGGCGGACUCGCUCGCAACGUUUGGGGUGGAGUGUGGCUCUCGAUCUAUUUUCAUGUCAGCGUCUCAGUUGCCCUUGCGCUCCAGGGGGCUUUUAUCUCUGGACAUGCAGAAUUUUUGUAGUUUUCGUUUUUCUCUUAGGAUGUAGGGAUUUGGAUGAUUCCUUGGCAUUGUGUUCUGGUUUAUGAAUAAAACAGGUUUUUUUUUUAUAAAAUAAAAAAAAUAAAAAAAAUAAAUUCUAUUAGUAGACAUAUAUAAUUAUUAGUAUAAUUGAUAAUAUCAAUUAUAUUGCAUAUAUUAAUAUACAUUAUAUAAUACAUAUAACUAAUAAUAUCAUUAUCAUAAGUUUAUAACUAAUUAAAUUAAAUAUUAUAUAUAUAAUUAUAUACAUAUAUAUUUUUUUUUUUUUGCGGGUGGCGGGGCAGAGGUAUAAUUCCCCGCCCCCGUUUCUAAAUGGGGGGAAAAAUUCCCCCCACCCCCGCCCCUGCCCCAACUCCUGCCACAAGAGCCCUCCGCAAGGCGGGUGCCCGCGCAUUGCCAUCCUUAGUAACAACCUUUUCUGUUAUCCAUUCGAUCAAAUUCAAAUGGAAAUGAGAAAAAGGGCAAAACCUUUCAUUAGCCAUUAAUAUGGCCCAAAAAUCUCCUACAUGACUAUAAUACUCUAUUCUGAAUCUAUCUUUUCCUUUUUGACUAUAAUACUCUUUCUGCCUUUACUUGUCACUGUACUAUCCAAAAAAGUCUUGAAUACUUAACAUAAAAUUGACAAUAUUUCCAAAUAUGAGAGCAAAAGUUUUGAAUAAUUAACAUAACCCUGACGAUAUUUCCAAAGAUGAGAGCAAAAUCUAAAAUUUGACCGUUCAUCUCCAUUCCAAUUGCAGUAAUUUUCUCUUUGUAAUGCUUUACUUCUUAUUAAAAAAAAGGAAAAUAAGGAAAAACUCACUACAAAUCUAGGGAAAUUGGAAUUAUACCAACACGAAAGCAAAGUCUAAAAUUUUGAUUGUUCAUCUCCAUUCCAGUUGUGGUGAUUUUCUCUUUUUGAUGCUCUCUUUCCUAUUAAAAAAAAAAAAGAAAAAGCUCACUACAAAUCUAGCAAUAUUGAAAUUAUUAGUAUGUUUGUACAAAACUCUCGAUCACUUGUUCAUUCAAUUAAUUCUUUCCGAAGUUUUAGUUUUGAUUUUGUCAUACUGCAUUGAAUGGGAACUCAUUGUGCAUAUGGCUAUAUGGGGGGAAUAGCAUGUAGGGCUGAGGAAAGGUGUCUCCAUCACUCUGUUCAUUCAAUUAAUUCUUUCCGAAGUUUUAGUUUUGAUUUUAGGUUGGUUCCUAUUAGGGAUAAGGUCAGAAGAUGAGAUUAGUAAUAAAAUUUGGAGUUGAAUCAUUGUAUGAAUAUUUUUUGAAAAAAAAUGGUUAUUUUGGCAAAAAACUCAUUUUUUUAAUUUAUUCUAAUAUCCGACAAAAAAGAAUACUUUUUAAAUCAUGCAUUUUUCCUUAUUUAAUAUAUUUAUUAUAUUUCUUUAUUGAAACAAAAUUUAUACAAUAAAACAAAAGCUUGAACGCACUGAUCCUUUUCAUUCUUUUUUUAUUUGUCAAUAACCAAAUAAAUUUGCAGAAAAAGUUAAAAAAAAGGGUAUUUAAACAAAGAAAUCUACAAUAAGCUGGCAAGAUGUAAUGAAUUUUAUUUAAAAUAUGUAAUUGUAACAUGUCUAAGGUUGUGCCUUACUAUAUUCAAAGUAAUAAAGAGGUAAAAAGCUAAAAAUCAUUAUAGAAACAAGUAGAAAACAUUUUGCAUAUGACAGAGUAGGUGCAUGUUGUGUUACUAUUAAUUGUGAAAGAGUCAUCUAAGGGUGCCAUGGGUACUCGUUAAAAUAUACUUAAGAUGUUCGAAUUUUGAAAAAGUAAAAUUAAUUAAAAAAAGUAUAUAAAUAUAAGAAAUGAUAAUAAAUUUUAGUAUGUGUGUGUAUAUAUAUCUAACUAUAUAAAAGUGGGUGUUGCUUGAAUGAACAAUAAAAAAGUGUCUUGGUUGGUUAUUUGGCCAUUGGUCAAUUUGUUUGCCCUAUUAUGGUCCAUUUGCUCGGUGUCAUGGAUUUGGAGGUAUUGCUUUAGCCUUAGGGGUCCGUUUGUUUAAGGUGAAAAUAUUUUCCAGGAAAAUAUUUUUCUAAUUUCCCGUGUUUGGUUGCACAAAAGUUACUGAAAACAUUUUCUUAUGUAAAAUAUUUUCACUCAUCUUAUGGAAAACAACUUCCCUUCCAAACUUACUGAAGUUGUUUUCCGAAAUGCAUGCAUCUCACCUGUAAUAUGUUCCAAACUUACUGAAAACAUCUUGUAGUAUGUUUUUUUUUUUUUUUAGUGUAAACAGGAAGACUCGAACCCAAGAUCUUUUCCUUACACUCCCUCCCCCGUGCCACCCAACCCAACCCUCCCCCUAGUAUAUUCAAAAUAAAAAAGAAACCUCAUCCUGCUCAUCCUAUGCUAGUAAUUAAUUAUGUAUAAUAGGGACAUUUUUUUCUAGAGAAACUUUCAGCAGUGAGAGUGCAAGAUAUAUGUCACAAUAAGCAUUGCAUGUGAUUGAUAUUUGAUACUAAAUGACCAACAAUUUGUUUAUUGCUUAAGGAGAUAUUUUUUAUUCAUAUAUACAUUUUUCCAAGAUUUUUUAAAGUUAAACAAUGAGAUAAAUUUUCUUAUUUUGCAUGGGAAGAAGUAUGUAGUUAUAAUAUGUAGAAAGUAAAGAUAGAGAUAAAAGUGAAAAUAUUUCAAAAGUUAAACAAACACCAAAAAAAUGAAGUAAGAAAAUAUUUUCAAUAAGCUAACCAAACGCCUGAAAAUGAUGAAAGGGAAAUGAUUUUCAUGGAAAAUUACUUCCACGGAAAAUAUUUUCCCAAGGAAAAUAUUUUAUUUCCAAACAAACAGACCCUGAAAAUGUUUCCUAUUUUCCGCCUAUGUCAUUCAUUUUUGCCUUGAUCCAAGAUCUAUGUUACAAGUUGUUUGGCUGCUUCGUAAUUUACUUCUUCUUUGGCCCUAUUUUUUAUUGUUCUCUUUUGUGGACCGCAAACAUCAGUUUUUGUUUCUAAGCUCCUUUUGUUAGAAGCUUCACUGUUUGACUAAUUGACUCUGACUUACUUUUAUAUUUGCAAUGCUAUAUAUCAUGUGUACCUUUUUUGCCUUGUAUUGUAUUAUGGCAUUGCCUAUUCUCUGGUACUUUUUUUGCCCCUUUCUUUUCCCUUUCACUAAUUGUUUAUGCUUCUGCUUCCCUUCCCCUGGCCAAUCGGUAAUUUUGUUACCCGCUAUUGUGCUACAUUUUCUGUGGAGCGUGGAGCAGGUAAAAUUUUCUGUCUUUUUGUUUGCCACUUACAGUGCCGCCUUUGCCCCUGCAUUAAAUGCUCAUGGUACUUCCAAAAAAAAAAAAAACACAUCCGACUAAACUGCCCGCUUCUUAAUAUUUUUGAUUUGUUUUUGUCAUUUGCAAACUUAUUAGAAAGAUAUGCAGUUAUAGAUUUUUCUUUUUGUUAAUGAUGCUGUUUGUUGAUUUAUUUUUUUUUAUCAAUUUUACCUUUUUAUUUAUUUACUCUUUUGCAGAAUAACAAAUUGCUGUCUCUCUGCUAUUUUAUGUCCCUUAGUAUCUUUUUUCUUUAUACUGCUUUUUGCAGUACUUUGUUUUUUGCUUUUAUUGUUUUCUUUUGUUUCCAAAACUUCUUUCUCAAGUGAGUUGCAUUUCUUUUGCUUAUUCUCAAGAAGUCUAUGUUGUAUAUUAUGCUUAUUUUAUUUGUUGAUAUUUCCCUUCUUUGUUCACUUGUUUGUUCUGGAAAUUUUUCUUAGACCUAGCAUCAAUGAUCCAUUCUUUAGGUCCUCCAUGUGCAUGCUCAUAAUUUUCCUUUUAUAUUUUCUAUAAUUUACUAGUUUCUUUUAUAUUCUUAGAAUUUGUCUUUCUCAUUUUCAAAUUUUUUUUUCAUGUUUUCAAUAUUUUAAUUUUUUAAUUAAUUUCGUAAUUCCAAUAGUUCUUCGAAUGUUUGGUUUAUGAACCACACGCAUAUAUAUAAAAGUAUAUAAAAGGGUGAAUGCUUUGCAUGAAUAGGCAAAUAACUACUUUAGUUGAUUGCUGUAUCUUUGGCUAAUUUAUUUGAAAUUGUACUAACCAAUGACGGUUACAAAAUAUACCAUGUAAUGUAAAUUCUAUGUGGAACAAUGAGUUUCAACUUAUAUAGACAUUUAUAUGUAUUCAUAAAGAAAAUAAAACAAUAUAUAUCCAUAAAAAAAUCCAAAGAAGUUUUGAUGUAAUCAUUGCUACUUUGGCUGGCUAAAGCAAAGAAAAUGUUGUUUCUACCAAAUUUAGAUUAUUUUCUUAGCCCUCUUCUUAGCAUUUGCUCUUGGUAUACCUUGAGCUUUUAGCUUUAUAUUUUAUUACACAAUUAUAAUCAUGAGUAUUUUAAUUAUAUUGUAAAAACACUAUUUUUUUGCCUCUUUUAUACAAUCAUAUCCACCGGUUCAUCUUUAUUCAAGUACAAUUACUAUUUAAAACAAAUAAAAACCUAAUAUAUCCAUCUUACUUUAUAACUAACUAUUAUUUUAUUUGUCCAUUACAGUUUCUCCAAUCAAUGCAUUCUUGAUGCAGUAUGAUGAACCACAAUGAUACAUUGGUAUUCAUUUUAUAAAAUUUCCCUAAUUUACAUCAAUUUUUCUCCAAAACACAUUUAACACGUAUUUAGCUCUUCAUUGCAGGUCAUACCACCAAAAUUUAUACAUUACUUGGAACCACACAUAAGAAGAAGAGCAAUUUUCAAAGUUGGAAACAAAAUAUGGUUUCUAAAACUAGAUGAAAAUCCUCAAAACUCUGGAUGAAAAAUAUUCAUUGACGAUCACAAUCUGCAGCCAAAUUCACUAAUAUAUUUUUCUGCAUUGGAGUGAUGACAUUUAGAGUUCAAAUUUUCAACCCAAAUCACUACACUAGCUUCUACGAAUGGAAUAUCAUCCCUAUUGAAAGCACAUAUGCAAAAGCAAAUGGUAACAUAAUUAAUAAUAAAAUAUAUCCACAGAGUUCACCAAUACAACUUCCUAUUUAUUUAUUUAUUUAACAAUUGCAGGCAUUUUUUCUGCAAGAGAAAGUUUCCUCAUAAAGCUCACAUUUUAUGUAGUCAUCAAGCCCACGGACAUGGAAAUUUUAGUAAGCCAAAUUUUUUUAAACACAUAUUAACCCAAAGCCAUACAAAAAAAUUGCACAUAAAUUUACUUUAGCCAUAAGAUACUGCAAAUAUAUUGCCAAACAAAAACAAUAUAAUCAUCUUCUAUUACCAAUACAAAUGUUGGAACAUCAAAGUUGAAGAUAAAUUUUUAACCUAUGAAUAGAAAAAAAUGCUAUGAUACCAUAUUAUUUGACCAUGCUAUACUCUCAUAAUUACCCACUUAGGCAUAAAUGAAUAUUGAAUGCACAGAUUCGAUAAUGAACUUGUAAAAGUUGCUCCAACAUAAAAUAACUAUAAAGUUAUGCCUUUCAACCUUUAAUACUAUUCCCAUAUUCUCCAAUUUCAUAACUAUACAUACACUACUAUAUUUUUACUUCAACAUUAAAUCACAUUCUAUAUGAUAACCUACCAACAAUUCUUUCCAAUUACCCUCAUUCAAUAAAAACUAACUACCUCGCAAUUAUUUUACAUAUUGUAAAAUAUUUUUCUGCAUCAAUUCAUACAUCACAUUACACAAAAAAAAAAAAAAAAAAAUCAGCACACAAAUGCACUAUUAACACGGGUCAGGAAUUGCGCAGGGCCCCCUGACUAGUAUAUAUAUAAUAUAGUAGGCUGAAUGAAAUUUAGGCGUGUUAGUUGGGUAUCCAUUAGAAAAACCCAUUGUAAAAUGACAAUUAUGACUCUUGAUUGAACAUUUGUUGUUGGAAUAUGUUUUACAUAGCUAACUUCAUUUGUUUGGGCAACUACACGCUCGAAACAAAAUGUAAUGUGCCUUUAAGAUUCUUUUCUAUUGCUGAAGUUAGUGUGGAAAAUGAAAAGAAAUAUUAUUGUAAGUUAAGAAAAUAUCAUGAUUGACGUAACAUUUUUCUAAUGUGAAAGUAGAAUGAAAGGAAGAAAUAUUCAAUAAAUAAGAUAAUAGCCAUUAACUUCGUCCCACAUUGCCUUAAUAUUUUGAAAGCUACAGAACAACCUAUACAAAGUUUAGAGUUUUUAUUUUUAUUUUUAUUUUUUGGUCAAUCGUCAUCCCUACCCCUACUCUAUCCUAAUCUAACUAAGGGGAGGCCCAACUAGGCUUAUGGGGACCAAUGGGGACAGAACCAUUGCCCCCUUUGAAACUAUUGGAAUUUUUUACAGUUACCUUCUCCAUUUCUACAAUGAAACCUUGAAAGAAAGUAUAAUAAUAGUACUAUUUGUAAGUCCUUUCUAAUUAACCUUAUUUUGCUUAAUAUUGAACUCCACUUAUGUGUCUAAGCAUAUAAAUUACAAGCAAAUUGAAAAUCAUUGGAUCGUUUGGCCAAAUACACAUUAAUUAUCUAUUGUAUAUAUGAAUGUACAUCUCAUAGAUUUAUGCAUAAUAUUAACUAUUGUAUAAUUUUAUACCAUUAGAUGACCCGAUAACUAUUAAAUGCAUAAUAAAUGACAACCUAUACACCAUUCUUAUUUUAUUUUGGCAAUAUUGAAUAAAUUGCUUCAUGUCUAUUAACCUUAUGAGAAACAUUUAGUUGAGCUAAAAGUUCACAAACCACAAGUUGUAAAUUUAAUAUAAAUUAUUGUAUCCUAUGACCGAAGAUCCUGGCUUAGCCACCGCCCCUAGAGGAAUGUUAUUUUAUAAAAAUAAAAUUCUACCCCAACCUUUAUAUGGUGGAAUCUUUCAAAGAGGUAAACUGUGAAUUUUUUUUAUUCAUAGAGGCAAAGUGCAAUUUUUUUUAUGCUCUUUGAUUUUAGAAUCUUUGCUCAUGCCACUCAUGGUCUCUCAUCCUUUAGGUUUUGGACUAUUCCCAAUGGAGUUAAAUAAAAAAAAAUUCAAUAACCUAGCUGACUAUAUAUAAAUGUCACUAACCACUAAGCUAUACUCGUUAGUCGUUAAGAGUUUAUUUUUUCAUAACAAGUGAAGUUAAAACAUCUAAAUAUAGGGGAUAAAAUAUAUGUCAAUGUCUGCAAUAAUUAUGUGAAUCCUAGUUUUAUUUAGCAAUGGUUGUUGACUUUGCAGUACCAUUCCACACUUUGCAGGAAUCUAAAUAUUUUGGAUGUUUGAAGAAAGUUAAGCUGAAAGCUCCAAAACCAUUGGAUGGUCAAAUGUUGAAAUCACAAGUACGUUAAAAAUAAUUCUGGAUCUCUGACUUUAGCCAUUCCACUGUAGAAUGAUGUUCACAUUUAAAAGCAGAGGUUUGUAUAGCAAAGUAAACAUUCAUCUAUGCAAGCAUAGCUCAAAAUUCCAUAGCAGAAUAAAAUUCUUAUAUCAGUUCCUACACUUCAAAGAUGAAGAAGACAAAGGUUGUUUUUGUUCCAUCACCAGGCAUAGGUCACCUAAUAUCCACAGUUGAGCUCUCCAAGCGCUUAACUGAAAGAGAUGAUCAGCUAUCAAUAUUUGUUCUGGUCAUAAGCUCACCUGUUGGCCCAGACUUGGAGUCCUACACUCAACAAGUGGCUGCUUCAAACACUGGUAUUCAAUUCAUCAACAUUCC
rnacentral:lncRNA from 1 species